rnacentral:lncRNA from 1 species
AAAAAAAAAAAAAAAAAAGUUGAAUAUGUAAAGCUUGUUUGGCUUGUUUUUAAAAAAAUUUAACAUCAUUUGGCUGUUGUUAUCUGAAAACAAUUUUUAAAAACAAAGUGAAAUAAAGAAUAAUUUUUAAAGAACAAGUAUAAGUUGUUUUCACUAAUUUAUAAAAAUAAAAAGAAAAUAUAGACUUGUUUGACCAUAUUUAAAUAAAAAAAAAACAAGUUUUUAAAAACUGUACAUAUAAAGAUAUGAACAUUUUACAAUUUUUUCUUUCUUUUUCUCUUAUAGUCCAUGGUAUGAAUGAAAGUUUUCCAAGUCGUCCAUAAUUUCCAAGUCUUCUAUCAUUUUCUAUCGAUCAUUGCUUUUUGACCUCCUUAUAUUUUUAAGAUCUUGUCCUCCAUUCACGCCAUCAUACUGAUGGACUAGAGAUAUCAUUAUUAUAUUCUUUUAUUCCCAUUAUUGUAAAAUAGAUAUUUUAAAUUUUAUUUUUCAUUUUUUGAAUUUAAUAAUAUCUAGUAGCAAAAUAAAGUAAUUUAAAUCCUAAAAAUGUGUGUUUAUAGGAUAUUUGCUAUUAUUACUAAUCAUAGAUAACAAAACUGUUGAUUGUAUUAAUUGUAUACAAGUUAAAAAAAUAAAAUUGACCUUUGGAUCAAAGAAAAUAUUAAAAUGAUUAAAACUAAAAUAAAAAUAAAUUCAAUGAUUUAAACACAAAUAAAAAUGUAAUUCAAAUUAUUUGAAGUUCAUAUAUUUUCAAAAAUAAAAAUAAAAAUUGUGAAAGAUGUGUUGGGCUUUGUGGAGCCUAGUUUUCUUUGAUCUAGUUUGAUGACCCGACUCGAAUAAUAUUGCAUGACUUUUUAAUGGGAGAUUUAUUGAGGCUUGUUGGGCCCGUUUAGCCCAUUGUGGAACCACCUUUUGUAAUUAGGGUUUUUUAGUAUGGUGGGGUUGCCGUGUUAUAUAUAUAGAGAGAAUAUUGUAGCCGCUAGGUUGUACUCUAUAUUCUUCUCUAAUAAUAGUGAUAUCCCUGCAAUUCCGUGGACGUAGGCAAAUUGCCGAACCACGUAAAUACUGUCUUGUGCGUGUGAUUGUUUUUUUUUUCUUUGGCGUGUGUUUUCUCUAAUUUUUGUUUCUCAUGGGUUGGGAAUUCGGUUUAAUUCCCUACAACUAGUAUCAGAGCCUAGGGUUAGGUUUGAGUGGGAGCAAUGGCAGAGGAAGCAGGAAAGGCAUCUGGAAUAGAAAAUUUUGAUAGCACAAACUUUGCGUAUUGGAGGAUGUAGAUUGAAGACUAUCUCUAUGGGAGGAAAUUGCAUCUGCCUCUUUUGGGGACAAAACCUGAGAGUAUGAAGGCUGAGGAAUGGACGCUUCUUGACAGACAAGUUCUAGGAGUUAUUAGGUUAACUCUGUCUAGGUCUGUUGCACAUAAUGUUGUAAAGGAGAAGAUCACAACAGAUUUAAUGAAGGCUUUGUCCGAUAUGUAUGAAAAGCUGUCCGCAAACAAUAAGGUGCAUCUGAUGAAGAAAUUGUUCAAUUUGAAGAUGGCAGAGAAUGCAUCAGUAACACAACAUUUGAAUGAAUUUAAUAUAAUCACAAAUCAAUUGUCGUCUAUAGAAAUUGAUUUUGAAGAUGAGAUUCGUGUUCUGAUCGUCUUGGCUUCUUUGCCAAACAGUUGGGAGGCAAUGAGGAUGGCAGUAAGCAAUUCUAUGGGAAAGGAAAAACUCAAGUACAAUGAUAUACGAGAUUUAAUUCUAGCUGAGGAGAUUCGCCGAAGAGAUGCAGGUGAAACCUCAGGAUCUGGUUCUACCUUAAACCUUGAGACAAAAGGCAAAUGUAAUGACAGAAAUUCAAAUCGGGGUAGAUCAAAUUCCAGAAAUUCUAAUCGAAACAGAAGCAAAUCUACAUCAGGCCAACAAGUACAAUGCUGGAAUUGUGGGAAAACAGGCCACUUUAAAAGACAAUGCAAAAGCCCUAAGAAGAAGAAUGAAGAUGAUUCUGCUAAUGCUGUAACAGAAAAGGUACAUGAUGCAUUACUUCUUGCAGUAGACAGUCCACUUGAUGAUUGGGUUUUGGAUUCAGGAGCUUCGUUUCAUACCACUUAACACCGAGAAAUCAUACAGAAUUAUGUUACAGGUUAUUUUGGUAAGGUGUAUUUAGCUGAUGGUUGGAUGUUGUGGGUCUAGGAGACGUCCGGAUAUCAUUGCCCAAUGGGUCUGUUUGGUUACUGGAGAAGGUUUGACAUAUUCCUGACCUGAGGAGGAAUCUGAUUUCUGUUAGACAACUUGAUGAUGAAGGACAUGCAAUACUAUUUGUUGGUGGUACUUGGAAGGUUACAAAGGGAUCUAGGGUAUUGGUUCGUGGAAAGAAGACUAGUACUUUGUAUAUGACCUCAUGUCCAAGAGACACAAUUGCAGUUGCUUAUGCAAGUACUGAUACAAGCCUAUGGCACCGCAGACUUGGUCACAUGAGUGAGAAAGGGAUGAAGAUGUUGCUGUCAAAAGAAAAACUACCAAAAUUGAAGUCCAUUGAUUUUGACAUGUGUGAAAGUUGCAUAUUAGGAAAGCAAAAAAAGGUGAGCUUCUUGAAAAUUGGCAGGACACCGAAGGCUAAAAAAUUAGAACUAGUACACACUGAUUUGUGGGGGCCUUCUCCGGUUGCAUAGCUAGGAGGUUCAAGGUACUACAUCACUUUUAUUGAUGACUCAAGUAGAAAGGUAUGAGUUUAUUUUCUGAAAAAUAAAUCUGAUGUAUUUGAAACUUUUAAGAAGUGGAAGGCCAUGGUUGAGACAGAAACAGGUUUGAAAAUAAAAUGUUUGAGGUCAGAUAAUGGAGGAGAGUACAUAGAUGGAGGGUUCAGUGAGUAUUGUGCUACACAGGGAAUUAGGAUGGAGAAAACCAUUCUUGGGACACCAUAGCAGAAUGGUGUGGUUGAGCGCAUGAACAGAACUCUCAAUGAGCGUGCUAGAAGUAUGAGGUUGCAUGUUGGACUAUCAAAAACUUUUUGGGUUGAUGCUGUUAGCACUGCAGCUUACCUGAUAAACCGAGGACCAUCAGUUCCCAUGGAGUUCAGACUUCCUAAGGAGGUUUGGAGCGGUAAAGAGGUGAAGUUUUCACAUUUAAAAGUUUUUGGUUGUGUAUCUUAUGUUCAUAUUGAUUUUGAUGCUCGUAGUAAACUUGAUGCAAAGUCAAAAAUAUGUUUUUUCAUUGGCUAUGGUGAUGAGAAAUUUGGCUAUAGGUUUUGGGAUGAACAAAAUAGGAAAAUCAUCAGAAGUAGAAAUGUGAUAUUUAAUGAACAGGUUAUGUACGAGGACAGGUCAAUUGUAGUGUCAGAUGUUAUAGAGAUAGAUCAAAAGAAAUCUGAGUUUGUCAACUUAGAUGAAUUGACUGAAAGUACUGUCCAAAAAGGGGGUAAAGAAGAUAAGGAGAAUGAAAAUUCACAGGUAGAUUUGAGUACACCUGUAGCUGAAGUUCGCAAAUCUUCCAGGAACAUUAGACCUUCGCAGCGUUAUUCACCUGUUUUAAAUUAUCUCCUGUUGAUUUAUGGUGGUGAGCCAAAGUGUUAUGAUGAAGCCUUGCAAGAUGAGAAUUCAAGCAAGUGGGAGUUAGCCAUGAAGGAUGAGAUGGAUUCCCUGUUGGGGAAUCAGACAUGGGAACUGACUGAAUUGUCAGUAGGAAAGAAGGCUUUGCACAACAAGUGGGUAUACAAAAUAAAGAAUGAGCAUGAUGGUAACAAACGUUACAAGGCCAGAUUAGUUGUUAAAGGGUUCCAGUAGAAGGAGGGCAUUGACUACACAGAGAUAUUUUCUCCAGUUGUGAAGAUGUCAACAAUUAGACUUAUACUUGGAAUGGUAGCUACAGAAAACUUACAUCUUGAGCGGUUAGAUGUGAAGACAGCAUUCCUUCAUGGUGACUUGGAGGAAGACCUUUACAUGAUUCAGCCAGAAGGAUUCAUUGUUCAGGGACAAGAGAAUCUAGUCUGCAAACUAAGAAAGAGCUUGUAUGGCCUUAAACAAGCUCCUAGACAGUGGUACAAGAAGUUUGACAAUUUUAUGCAUAGAAUUGGGUUCAAGAGAUGUGAAGCUGAUCACUGUUGCUAUGUUAAGUCCUUUGACAAUUCUUACAUCAUAUUACUGUUGUAUGUGGAUGAUAUGCUUAUUGCAGGGUCUGACAUUGAGAAGAUUAAUAAUCUGAAGAAGCAAUUGUCCAAACAGUUUGCAAUGAAGGAUUUGGGAGCUGCAAAGCAAAUCCUUGGUAUGAGAAUCAUUAGAGACAAGGCUAAUGGUACAUUAAAGCUUUCACAGUCAGAGUAUGUGAAGAAAGUUCUCAACAGGUUCAACAUAAAUGAAGCUAAACCAGUGAGCACACCCUUGGGUAGUCAUUUCAAACUAAGCAAAGAAUAGUCACCGAAGACAGAAGAAGAAAUGGACCAUAUGAGCAAGGUGCCAUAUGCCUCAACUAUUGACAGCUUGAUGUAUGCUAUGGUGUGUACAAGGCCAGACAUUGCACAUGUAGUGGGAAUUGUGAGCAUAUUCAUGAGUAGGCUUGGAAAGCAGCAUUGGGAGGCAGUCAAGUGGAUUUUAAGAUAUCUGAAGGGUUCAUUAGAUACAUGUCUUUGCUUUACAGGUGCAAGUUUAAAACUGCAGGGUUAUGUAGAUGCUGAUUUUGCUGGUGAUAUUGAUAGUAGAAAGAGUACUACUGGGUUUGUUUUUACUCUAGGUGGUACAAUUAUAUCAUGGAGUUCAAAUCUACAGAAGAUUGUUACUUUGUCUACUAUAGAAGUUGAGUAUGUUGCAACAAUUGAAGUUGGAAAGGAGAUGAUUUGGCUACAUGGUUUCUUAGAUGAAUUGGGUAAGAAGCAGGAGAUGGGCAUUCUACAUAGUGAUAGUCAGAGUGCAAUUUUUCUUGCCAAAAAUUCAGCUUUUCAUUCAAAGUCGAAAAAUAUACAAACAAAAUACCACUUUAUCCGUUAUCUUGUUGAGGAUAAACUGGUAAUAAUUGAGAAGAUUUGUGGAUCUAAGAACCCUACAGACAUGUUGACUAAGGGUGUCACCAUUGAGAAGCUGAAUUUGUGCGCAGUUUCAAUUGGUCUUCUAGCUUGAGGACAGGAGGAUGAGUUGUAGGGAUGAGGGAUUGUUUCUUGGAGGAUAGCGGUUUGAUGUUGGUGAUUGGACUAGUCUCCAAGUGGGAGAUUUGUUGAGCUUUGUGGAGCUUAGUUUUCUUUGAUCUAGUUUGACGACCCAACCUGAAUAAUAUUGCAUGGCUUUUUAAUGGGAGAUUUAUUGAGGUCUGUUGGGCCCGUUUAGCCCAUUGUGGAACCACCUUUUGUAAUUAGGGUUUUUUAGUAUGGUGGGGUUGCCGUGUUAUAUAUAUAGAGAGAAUAUUGUAGCCGCUAGGUUGUACUAUGUAUUCUUCCCUGAUAAUAGUGAUAUCCCUGCAACUCCGUGGACGUAGGCAAAUUGCCGAACUACGUAAAUACUGUCUUGUGCGUGUGAUUGUUUUUUUUUCUUUGGCGUGUGUUUUCUCUAAUUUUUGUUUCUCACGGGUUGGGAAUUCGGUUUAAUUCCCUACAAGAUGGAGAGGAAAAUAAACAAAAUUUAAAAAGUAUGUGGAAAAAACAAACUACUGAUCAUAAACUUAUUCCUUUUUUAUCAGUUUUCUUUAACAAAAAAAAAAAAAAAAAAUUCUCUCAUCUACUACCCACCAUGGUAGCCUAAUGGGGCAGUUAACACCCCCCGAAGGUUCAAGUCCCAUAGAGAGUCCCUAACAGAGCUGGUUGUCGAUUGUUAUGAUUUUUGAGCUGGUUUUUCCGACACUGGUAUGAGCAUUCUACUCGAUGGUGACUUAUGACAUGGGUGGCUCAAUCCUAUCCACUAUUAGAGGAGUUGAGAUUCGCUUAGACCUGAAGAGCAUUUGUUAUACAUAUCUUUGAUAUUGCUCCUGUUGAACUUAGAAUAUACAAGUCCAAGAUCUGGCCCACUCUGUUGGGAUUUGAGCAUAAAGAGACUAUUAAGAGGAUUUGUAAACUGUCAGAUGACGGGAUGGGCAAGCCAUCAGCACAAAACUUGACAAUCAUCAAUCGAGUGUUACAUCAUAUAUUGCGCUUCAUUUUCCUACCACAGGGUAGACACCGAGAUGAAGUCUCCUAUUACGAGACAUUUCUUAUAGAUUCCAUUUUGAUUGGGAGACGGAUCCAUUUAGGAUAUCUAAUGAUAAUGCAGAUGAUUGCAUGUUGUGAGAGCAUCACUCAAGCACUCCCCUAUGACUGCUUCUUUUCCCGAGUAUUCAAGGAUGUUAGCAUUAACCUUAGCAGAGAGAUAGACUUUGAGGCUCCCAGUACAUAUGAUACAUAUGAUGAUCAAUCCAUGGGGUGGAUGAAAUUUGAGAAGACUCCAAAUUGUUCUUGGAUCAGAAAAGCAGAGAGAGCACAACCAUAGGGACAGGGACAGGGACAGGGAUAGGCACACCUUAGAGUUGAGGAGGAGGUAGAGAUUAGGGAGAUGCAGGGUGGAGUAAACCUUGAGGGUGGACUAGACCCUCAGAGUGGCCACUAGUAAAGAGGGCCCGAGCUUGAUAUUCUCCCAAUUCAAAUAGAGAUUCCUUCAUAAAUCGGGGGUGUUCCGUUUGAGUCACCUUCUUUGAGUCAAUGAUGACUAAAUCAACUUUUACAAAGGAACCAUCUACUCAAACAUCAUACACUGAGACCACCUAUACUGAGAUACCACAGUCUCAGGCACCUCCUACUCCUAACCAUGCUCCUUAGAUGGAUUUAUCCGCUCAAAUUAAAUCCCUUGGUGACACAUGAUUUUAUUAUAUAGGAGGAUAGGAUGGACCAAUAUCAGACUAGGUUCACUUAUCAAUUUGAGUAUCUUUAACAGAGGAUUGAUCACAUUGAGGAUUACAUAGUGUGUCAGCAUGAUGAGAUGAUGGCAUACUUGCAUUCCAUAUUUCCACCUCCACCUUCUUAGCCUUGAUUCGUUGGAUACCCCACCCCCCCUCCCCCCCUCCCCCCUCCCCCUUCUUUUUUUUUUAUGUUGCCAAAGGAGAAGAUAUUUUAGGAUCUAAGAGGCUAGAUAUAGGAGACAUGCAUAUCAUUUUUUUUUUGUUUGGAUCAUAUAUUGCUUAUCUCUAGUUACUUUAGCUUAUUGGACAUAUGAUGUACUGACUGAUACAUUUGACAUUAUAUAUGAUAUGUGUAUAUAUUUGAUGAGUUACAUUGUUUCUUGUUGCAAUACUAUCCAACAUGUCUUGAUCAUCUUAUUUUUAAUUCUUAAAAUAUUGAUUGUUGAUCCAUGAUUAGUUUUGAGGGAGAGAUUCUUUUCCUCUUAGAUAACCAAGGUUUGUCAUCAUAAAAAAGAGGAAGAUUGUUAGCCCAAGGAUUCUCCUAAUCGUUUUUUUUUAUGAUAACAAACUAUGGUUAAGUGGCUAAUUGGUUUGAAUUAUAAAAAAUUUCAAGUGUUAAUUUGGAAAUUCAUCAAAGGACCCAAUGGAUGCAAGAUCAAAACAUUUGGAAGACCUUUAAUCAUAGGAAACAUAUGUAAGAUAAAUGCAUGAGUUCACUUAAGAUUUUUAUAUCUUUUCAUGCAUCUUUAAAAACUUGGUUUAUGCAUUAAAGUUACAUUUCUAUCAAAACCCGAGUUUUAUCAAAUGAACCUUAGGAAAAUCUGUGGACAAGCAUUUUUUACAUGCGUCCCCACUCAAUGGCAAAACUCAUUUUUGUUGGUGAAAAAUUAGUUUUGGAAAAGAUAGAGUCACCACUUAUUUUAUUUUAUUUUUAAAAGGAAAAUAAAACAAAAAAGAAAAACCCUAAAGAAGUAACUCCAUGAUUUUGGAAAAGCAUGUCUUUGAACAAACUCGAGUUUAGGUCCAAGGAUCAGGUUAUUUAUUGGGAAGGUACCUCAAAGAGGUAGCACCCCUCUAAGCCUUAAAAAGGUCUCUAAUGGCUAAGUCGAGGGAAAUGUGGCAAUUAAUCAAUUGAUUGAAGGUACCUAGGUAGACUAAGGUGAUUUCAAGAUUCUAUUAAUACUAGCAUGUCAAAUAGGAAAUCAAAUUACAAUCAUAAAGGAGAGUUAGGGUGUGUACUUGAACUGCUUUUUAAGCGCAAUCAUAAGACAAUCAAAGUUAAUUUGAAUAGUAUAUCACUCCACAUGCAUUUUAUUAGUAUCAAAUAAGUGUCAAGGUAAUCAAGGACAUCAUUCAAACAUGGAUUUAGCUCAUGAUAACAUGCAUUUUCAUAAAAUUUUGGAAUUGGGAGAUAGAGAGCAUACUUAGAUAGCAAGUUGAGCGCUUUAAUGGGAAACAAGGUUAGCUCAACAAUAAAUACAAAAUAAAUUCAUGUAUAUCAUCAAGGAGAAUUAAAUAUCAAGCGAAUAUCCAGCAAUCAUCUCAUUUGAAUCAUAAUCAGAGGAGAAAUCAAGGAUGUUGGGCUCCUACCAAGGCCCAUUUUACUUUUGCAUGAAUUGAUGUUGGUCUCCGAUUCAUCGAAGAACCCCAAUCCCCCAUUUAUCACAAACGUCCAGAAUCCAUAUUCCUAUCGGCCAUGUGAGAAACCAACAGCUUGGUUUCGCCUUUCAUGGUGUAUCAAUCAAUCUCAUUUACCCACUGAAACGCAACAACCCACAUGAUAAAUUACAAGGGCACUUAAAAAAUGGCCAUGCAAGAGUGAGACCCGAGGUGCAAUCUGGAGUGCGCCAUCUUCAAGUGGUAGGGGGUCCCGCCUACCUUCUGAUUCCAAGGGCUCCAGAAUAUGGACUCCAUUGUCGGUCAAUCCCAUUGCAAACCGAUUAAGUUCAAAUGGAUGGGGUUUCCGUCUUCAAAGCUUAGGAAGGUUGAUUGGCUGUCACUAUGAAUAUGUGGCAUUUGGGGUUGAACUACUCGACCCACAGGGAGCUCAGUGCUUAAUGUUUUCUAGUCUUGAUGCUUCAUGUCAAGGGUUCAUCUCAAGUCAUGGAAAGGCAUUCCUUCUUCAUACUUGAUGAGGAUUGAUGGCUUGAAGCAUGUUGAUGCAUCUUAUCAUAUAGAUAUAGGGUUAUGGUAUAUGACACACCAUUCUGAAGCAAGCGUUGUGAUCUAGAAAACUGCAUCUGUCAAUUGGACCACUUCCUGCGGUAUUCACAAGUGCUUGAGAACUCCCAGAAACGAUGGCGGCCUCUGAAUCUAUCUAACCCCAAACAACCCAUUAUAUACAAUCUUUAUAAAGUUUCCACCUUUCUAGAAAUACUCAUGCUAUUAUGGUCUCCGUGUACCAAAGGGAGACGAGAAAUAUAGAUGUUGAAGCAUAGAAAAAUAAUCCAAGAAAAACAGAGGAAGGAAGACAAAGGAUGGGCAAACAGACAAGCCGCAUUCCAUUAUUUUGUCAAAAGGCUUGAAAACAGGUGGAGGAUAUUAGAGAGCAAGAGCUAGCACAACUCUUAGAUACCAGUAUUAGCGAUAAUUAUAUGCAUCACCCAUUAACAGUAGAGAUUUUUUUUUAAAAAAAAAACUACACUUCAAGCCAGGACAGAGCAUGCACAUAUUUAAAAUCAUUCCACAGAAGAAACAAUCAACCUUAAAUAUUCACAACAAUCAACAAGAUAACACCAGAAUUUGUAAAAAUGGAUGAUGUUGAAUCAUAUAGAGAUAAGAAGAUACUAAUUUCAUCUGACCAUACCUGGAGAAAUUCCUCUCAAGAAAUAUUGUUUGGCUUCAAGCGAGCUUUGUCCUCCUCUAAAGAUCCCCCUAACAAUCCCAACGAGCUCUCUCAUUUUCUUUGACCAGACCUGAUGACCCAGGUGAACUCCUCUUUCUGCUUCCUUCUUUCCUCCUCUUUUCGAUGCGUGCUGAAAGUCCCUGCUUUGAAAACUUCUCCCCCCUUCCAAAACCACCAGCCUGUGUUUUUAUGGCAAUUGGCAGCCGUCCUUCCUGAGGAGUCCUCUUCUCUCCGAAUUCUAUGUCUCCUCCACCAGAAAAAUUCUUUCUGAAUUUCAAAAAGAGCCUUUCACCCCAUGAGUCCCACAUUUUUCAAAAGCUUCUUCAUCCAUCCUUUAACUCUCCAAAGGAUCUUCAAUAACACCUAAAAGAAUUUCUUUCCUUCUCAAAGUCUUACAAAUUUCAAAAAUUCUUCCUCAUCUGCUUGGUAGAUUUCCCUGUAAAGACAUCAAAUUAUUGAAUUAGAUAAAUGAAUAAAGAUUUUAGAGAAUGAUCAGAUGAUAAUAAUAAAUAAAUGAGUAAAUAGCAAGAUAAUAAACAAACAAAUAAAUAAUAGUAAAUAAAUAAGUAGAUAAAAAAAUAGGUGAUUGAUAAUAAUAAAUAUCAAAAAUAAAAAUAGAUAAACAAAUGAAUAAAAAAUGAGUCACACAAGUCAUGCAACCAUACAAGUUAUACAAGUCAUGUCUAAAAUGUCUAAUAAGUCAAGUGUGUCUAAGUGAGCCUAAGUGACCUAGGUGGUGCCUAAUAGGUCAAGUGUACCUAAAUGGGCCUAAGGUGGACCUAAUGAGUCUUAAUGGGCUUAGGUGGUGCCUAAUGGGCCGAGUGGACCUAAAUGGGCCUAAGAUGAGUCCAUGUAGGCUUAAGUGACCUAGCAAGAGUCUAACCUAAAGUGCACUUAAGUGAAGCCAAAUCUAAACUCGAAUGGCAGCCAAGGUCACAAUGAGGAGUUGAAUAAACCCCUUAAUCAAAGUGACUCAGAAAAGAUAAGCUAUUGAGUAGCAAUAGGGCACCUGGAAUUGCUGUAAAAUGUCAAAUGAACACCUAAUAUGACAUGUGCUAAAAGAACAAAAUGGAGGGUCUACAAAAUCGUUUCAAAAUUUGAAUAUUAAUUUACCUAAAGACCUUACCUAAGUGUUAGAAGAGAAAAUACAAGACAAAUAUAAGUUGUCGGGCCAAAAAAUAUGAAUUGGUCGAGGUAGUGGCCAAUCGACUCAACUGACUAAGGUAUUGGUCAAUCGGUUACGCUUUCCUGAUUGAAGUUCAGUCGAGAAAAGCAAAAAAUCUUCUCUUUUCCAGUAGCCUUUCUUUCCCAGUUGAGGGAUAUGUUUUCCCGAUCGAGGAAUAGUCGAGGCCUAAUAAUCACCUGCCGUGCAUUUAUUGCCCAACGUCUAGUGAAUCAGAUGACCCCUAACUCGAUCAGUUAAGGCUAUUUUUGGCAUUUUGGCUCUCAAGGCUAGAAACCUAUAAAUUUUGAGCUCCACUUCAUUUAUGAGAAAGAGAACACUUGCAUUUAUUUGUUUACCUACUUAUUAUUGCCUUAAAAACUCUCAUUCUUUUAUUGGUGCAUUAAAUCUCCAUUUUUUUUUAUUCUUUAGUGCACAUUUGUGAUUCAUCCUACUUUUGAGUUGUAUUUGAGUCAUUGUUGAGUUAGGUUGAGAUAUUCAAACUUGUUAUUUGAGUGUUAGAAGCUUCAAGUAAGUAGAGACUUGAAAGGAUUGUGUAAGAGUCCAUUGGAGUUGGAAUCCAAUUGUAAAGGUAUUGAAAGCUUGGUUGAAGCUUUAGUGAAACUCUUACUCGGUUAAGAGCUUAAGGAGAGUGGACGUAGACAAAGGGUCCCAAACCACUAUAAAUUACGAGUUUACUUCCUCUAAUUCUAUUUUUUUAUAUUUGUGCUUUUUUUUACUUGAAUUUGUGGUGCUUGAAUUUUUUUUUUUUUAAAAAAACCAAUUCACACCCCCUCUUAGGUGUUUUCUCUAUUAAAAUUAACCUUUAUUUUCUCAGUUGUUUUGAAAAUGUUAUUUAUUAUUUUUGUAUUAGAACUAUUAUUAUAUUUAACUAAUUGAUGGCAUAUUAUAUAAUUCCCAAUAAAUGUAGUUAAGAGAAAAGUAUAAAAGAAAAUGAGGUUUACCUUUACCUUUAAAGCUCUUAAAAUUGGUAAUUCACUCCAUCGAUGAAAAAUGAAAGAAAAAAAAUAUUAUGUUGGGAUUCUAGCUAUACCAACUUAAAGUAAUAGCCCUCGAAUGGAGGAGAAGAGAGGGCAAAAAUGAUAAAUAGGGUGAUAGUUAUUUUUUUUAAAAUUUGAAAAUUAUAAGAUAGAAGUAAUAAUAUAAAUAAUACUAUGAUAAAAUUAAUAUAAGAGUAAUUGUAAAUAAAUAAAGAGAGUAGGGAAGAGAAAUGUAAAUUCAAGAUUUAUAGUAAUUAGAACUUAAGCUUUCACUAUACCGAGAGUUAUAGACUAAUCUUUCAAGCUUUAUUAUUGGAUUAAUCAACGUGUACUUACAAUUUUCUUCAAAAGAUGUCUUACUUUUGAACUCUCAAAUAAUACACUACACUUAGUAAAUUCUAAGUGAUACUCCGUACUUAGAGACUUUUUCCGUUCAUCUCACAAGAUAUACAAGAACAACUUUCAUAAGAAUAAAAUUCUUAGUUUAUGAUUUGAGACAAUGGAAUAUGAGGAAACUAGAGUUGAAUUGUAAAUUAAGAUAAAAUACAAUUUUGAAAUCAAGCACACUCUACAGUACCCUUCUUCUAACUUUCUUUAAUUCUCCUCCAAUAUCCCAACUAUUAUUUCUAUUCUCCCGUUUUUAACUCUAUCAACUCAAUUUCUGACUCUUCAAUGCCCCAAUUCUUCGUCAUGACUUCAUGAAUUUAAUCUUGUAACAGUGCAACAUUGAUAAAUCAGUUGGUCUCAAAUAUAUUAUAUUAUAAAUUAAAUAAAAAUCAAUAAAAAAUAAUUAAAGAUGAUACCCCUAUUAUCAGUCAAACUUUUGGGCAACUUGUUAAAGAAAUGGUGAAGGAUCACGGAAAAUGGAUGAAUUGUGAUUUUUUUUUGUGAUGUAUAUUCAUGUUCAUGCAUUUUUUACUCUCACACAAUUGAAUGACAAUUGAAUGUGUUUAUGGCCUUGGUGCUCUAAUUCCAUCUUCUACUCAUGUAAAUUUGGCUUGUAGCCUUCAACGUUACACUAAAAAGAAAUUGGGUCAAAUACUUCAUCGACAGGUACCUGAGAAUUAAAAUUUUAAUCUUAAAAAAUGUUUUUAAAAACUAGAAAAAAAUAAUUAUAAAAAAUAGAUUAGAAAAUAGAUAAUUGUAAAAAAAAAAAAAAAAAAUUAGUAGACAACAAAAAUAAUUAUAAAAAACUAGAAUAAAUAAAUAAAAUAGAAAAACAUAAAAAUGGAAUAAAAAUAAAUUAUUUGCAUAAAAAAUUAUACAUAAAAAAAAAAAAAAAGAACUUAAGUCAUGUCUUGAACACUUAAAUUUAUAAUAAAAAACUGAAAUAGUAUCUUAAAAUGAUUUUAAGAUAAGUUAUGAUGUUCACAAAAUAUCAUAAUUUUAUUGAUGGUUUUGAAACUACCAAAUUUUAUAAAUAUAUAUAUAUUUUUUAAUUUACCAUAAAUUUAUCAAAAAUCCGGUGGAAAGCAAUUGCUUGGACCGCAGCCACUUCAAGCUCAACCGAGAUUUUAUAAUUUGAGGCCAUCGCUUGCCUUGGCUUUGGCAGUCACAAAAUAUCAUGGGCAUAUAAUCUUCUACAUUGGCCUUACCAUAACUCCCAUACUUCUCAUCCAUCAUUUUUCGAUUUUAUAUAAUUUUAACCAAUUCUAAUAUAAAAUUAUUAAUUUCCUCCUUAAACAAACAAGUUAAUAAAUGUAAUUUUUUAAAUAUAUAAACUCUUAAAUAAUUGAAAGAAAGCCUUAAAAUUACCCCAUUAAAAAAAAGAAAAAAAAGUGAGUUUUUAUAUGUAAAAAUAAUUAUAAAAUAAAAUAUUUUAAAAUUAAUUUAAAUUUCAUAUAUUUACCUAUUAAAAUUAGUAUUUAAUACGGUCAAAGUUAGUAUUUAUAUUAUUAAAAAUAUUUUUCUUUGACAACGAGAUAGAUGUGGGAAAAUGAUAAAGAAAAAUAACUUUCUUAUAUUUGAUUUUAUUAUAAAAAAAAAUAUGAAAAAUAAAUAAAUGUCUAUAUUUUUAAAUUAUUUGACUUUUAUAAAAAAAUUAAAAUAAAUAAAAUAAAUUUAAAAUAAUAUACAAAAAUAAGUUAUUCAAUUAUAAAUGGAUUUUCCCUCUAUUUUCUUUUUCCUCAAUUUUUGGAAGCCUACGUGGAAAAUAAACAGGAUAAAUUUAGUCCCUACAUGAGAUUUUGUGGGAGAGAAAGAAAGAAAAUCCGAAGGCCAGUUGUAUGCAUAUGGUUAGGCAAUUGGUGGCAGCGAGUGUGAGACUGAAUAGACUUGUGGGCUUCUGGGUGAAGUGAAGGGAGGGAGAGAGAGAUAUGGGGUUGGCCAUGACAACAAACACACUACCUCCUGCUUUGCUUUCAGCCUCCUCAAUCAGCAGUAGCUUCAGAAGGCCACUCUACUGCCACUACUCCUCAAUCUCUGCUUCUCCUCGGAUUCUCUCUUCUGUACGUCUAUUAUUUAUUUUUAUUUCUGUUUUGUUUAUUCAAUUCUUGUUUUUAUUGUUCAAUUUCUCUCCGUUUCAUUACAAUUUCUUUUCAUGUUUUUCUUUUUGAUGUGAAAGAUGUUAUAAAGAAAUAUCAAACUAUGCACGUUUUUCUCUGUUUUUCUUGAUGAGUGGUGGGGAAACUGUGCUGCAGAUUAUGUAUAUGCCCUUUUGCCUGUUUGGUUGUUGAGAAAAUGUGAUAAAGCAAUUUGAGAUUUGAAAUUGAGCGGGUUUUUUUUUUUUAAAAAAAAAAUUAAUUAGUUUUUUUUUAUUUUUUGAGAUCCCAAGAAAGUAAACCUCCCUUGGAAGAGAUUCAACCAAUCGUUUGGGUUAGUUGAGUUGAUUCUUUGUUUUCAGUGUUUCCUUUCUUUUCUGUCAUUUUCUGGGCUACCAAGCAGAGGGGUUUGGGGUUUUUUAUCCCCUUUUAAAAGUUGCAAUUUUGAAGUAAGACACAAUGGUAUGUAAUUAGAGUACAUUUAACAUUUUCUCUCUCUCUCUCUCUCUCUCUCUCUCUCUUUUGUUACUCUUUUUGAUUGAGGAUUGUGUUGAUACUGAUAGAAAGAAACUUCAUACUGAACUUGUUUCAUGAAUUCCCUUCUGUAAUUUUCUUUUAAUUUAAUUUGGAAUAUACCCUUGUUAAAAUAGAACAAAUUGAACUGGAUUUGAUUACAUAUGGGCAAUGUUACCAAAAAAAAAAUUUCAAGGAAAAAAAGAAGCAUUUCCAGUUGAUCCAAAUCAGCCACACAACUCAUUCCAUCAUCUCAAAAACCUAAAUAGUUAAAAACAUUACUGAAAAUGAUACCCGGGAGAUAACCCAAACCCAAUCAAUCAAUUUUUGAUCUGGUUGUAUUCAGGGUUAUGAAAAACCCUUUUGUUUGGCUCAAUGCCAGGCUCAACCUAAGAAUUCUUGUAAGUGUAAUAGAGGGAUUAAUGAGACUACAGUUUUGAUACAAUUAGGUUGCCCCAGUUGGAUGGAAGAGGGAAAGGAUAAGUAAAGUCCAGUUCUCGGUAGGUCAGCUACUAGGAAACCUUUAGUCUAUUAUAAUUGGACCUUUUUCAAACUUUACUAGUAGGGAGUUUUUAAUAGGUCCCAUGUUUUAAGUUCUGUUGUCCUCUUAGGAUAGACUAAAAUUUGGCUAUUCCCCUGUAUUUCUAACUUGUUUUUGAGUAAAACUUGCUCAGUCAUCUUCUUGGAUCUUAACUAUCAGCAAUGGCAACACUCUUUAGGAUUGUAAAGAUGAGUAAAUUUUGGAAAGUAAUUAGUUGAUAGGGAUCUUGGUGGCUUUUGAAGAACCAGUGGGUUUAUCAAUGAAUCUAGUUUUCGGUAUUUUCUCUUGGGUGUGUUUGGAUGUAGCAGAAAAGGCAUGCCAUCUGCUGAAUUCUGUAGAAGGGGAAAGGGUUCUGUAUCGUUUCACUUUUUGAUCAAGGGAAGAAAAAUCCAUGCUUUAAAUCCCUCUUCAAUAUCCUUAAUCAGUGAUGUUCUAAAUAUUAAUUUCACAGUUUGGAGGUUUUAGCAUAGCACUUUGACCACAACCAUUACAUCCAUCGCAACUAUCACAACUUUCCCCUCUCAGUAUAACCAUGUGUUCACACUUGCUGCUGCCACUCUCAGUUCUACUUCCACUCUCAGUUCUUCUUCCACUUCCACUUCCACUGCACUGCCUAAGCUGCUGUUACUAUGGCACCAUCACUGCUGCCAUACGAGCAGCCCUGCCACCUGUAGCCCACAUCCAUCACUGGUGCUGCUGCUGCUUUCAUAUCUCCACAACACUGCUUACUGAUGCCAAUACCACCUCCACCUAUUCUGAUUCCCUCAACAGCCUUGCUCCAGCCAUGAACUGCACCACCACAUCCUUCAGCAGCAACUCCUGCACUGAGCCAUGGAAUUCAAUCUUCUCAUAGAAGACAUGGAUUUUUUUUUUUUUUUUUCUUUUUUGAACUCCAUAUAAGUCAAUGCAGUGGAUUUAAGUUGUUGGCUGAAAGGAAGUCCUGAGGCCACCACCAUUUCUGCUCAUCCAAACAGAAUAUUUUGGGUAGUGAUAUUGGUAUAUUUUUUGGUGACCUCGUAUAUUUGUGCUUUAAGACAAGAAAAUCUGAAACCUAAAAUUAGCAUCAAAUUAUAAUCAAUCUCAUAUUCAGUGAGAUUUUGCAGAAGUUUUUCAUACUGGAACAGUUUCUUUACUUGGUUUUUUAGAAAUUCUGCAGCUUUUGACACUAAACCUUCAGUUUAUGUUCAGAGAAUAUGCAAAUCUUUGCCAUCACUUACAAAGAACACAGCAUGCAGAGUAUCCAGCGGCCAAGUGAAAGUGGAAGAUAGCGUAGAUGAUGAGGCCUGUGAAUUAGUCAAUGGAGUGGAGCUUUCCAUAGGGGAGGGUGAUGAUAGCAUCAAUGCUUAUCUCCUCAAGGCUGUUAAGAACAAUAAUGGUACAGGGAUACUGCUCUUGUCUGAUGUCUUUGGCUUUGAAGAUUCAUCCACAAGGGACUUUGCAUAUCGCGUUGCCUGCAAUGGUUACAAGUAUGUUAUUGACCUUCAUUAACAAUCUUAUAAUCCCUUUUGAAGAACUGAUUCUUUAGUAGAGUUGAAAUUUGAAUCUUUAAUUCCGUAACACUUCUUUCCUAUGCUUUUAAAACAACUGCAGUGUUCUGGUACCAGAUUUAUUUCGCGGGAAUCCAUGGGUGAAGGACCAGCCGAAGAUCAUGUUUCAACAAUGGCUAGCUACACAAGACCGCCAAAGGGUUGCUCGAGACAUUGACAUGUCAGUAAAAUGGCUGGUUGAUGAAUUCAUAGCUGCAGGAGUCACAGAGAAGCUCGGUGUCAUCGGGUUUUGCUUUGGAGGCGGCCGCGUGAUAGACGUUCUAGCCCAAGACCAGGGUGCUCAUUUUGGUACCGGUGUCUCCUUCUAUGGGACAAGAAUCAACCCAUCUGCAGCAGCCAAUGUAAAGGUACCCGUAUUGUUCAUUUCAGGGGACGAGGACCCACUUUGUCCAGUCAAUUUGCUGAAAGAUAUUGAGAAGAGCAUCGGCAGGGGGUCAAGAUUGGUAAUAUUUGAGGGAAGAGGCCAUGGGUUUGCUCACCGGCCAGAAUCUCCCGAAGAUGAUGAAGACGCAGAGCAGGCGUUUGCGGUCCUGAGAAGUUGGUUGCAGGAAGGUUUGGCUGUAAAUAACUGAAUGCCAGUUAGUUUUGGUUAGUUCCCUGUGUGUAUUCAUCUUGAAGAAGAAACCAACGAUAACCCUGCUGCUUGUUAUUAUGAUAAUAGGCCAUUUUCAGUUCUUUUAUCGGGAAUUUUGAUAGUGAUGAAAGUGAUUUGUCAGUAUCAUAUUUUCAUUAUAUUCCAUGUUGCUUUCAUUCAAGGAACCAUUGAUGAAGAACCCUUUGAUGUACCAGACCUGUGAUAUAGCUCAAAGGUACAUUGGUUUUCCGGUUUUUGGUCGAUGGUGAAACUGAAACACUGCUUUGAUAUGCUCCUGUUCAGGUAACUUCUGAGACACUGCUGCACCCGAGAUCUGAGGCACAUUCCAUUGAGGAGUUCUUGUUUUGGUAGCUCAACACAAGUAUCACAACGAGCGCAGGUGUUACAGGUUUUGGUUUGAGGUCUAGAAAAAGACCUAUGAAGUUACAAUUAAUGGCCUGUGUAAUUUUGUUGUUGGAAAAUUGAAUUUAUGUAUGAGAAUUAUAUUUUAAAAUUAUUUUUAUUAAAACUAAGGAUAAUUUUGAUAUUUUUAAAAAUUGUAAACAAAAUACAAGUGGAUUUUAGAAAUAGCGGGUUUUUAUGCUUUAAACAUGUAUCUAAGAGUUUUAUCUAAAAAUGUCAUAUUUGAUUGAUAGGAUAUAAUAUAGGACAAAUAAAUGGUGAGAUAUAUUAUCUAUUUUUUUUUCUAUAUGUUAAUUUUAUGGUAAGAUAUGGAAUAUGUAUAUCCCAUAUAUUAAAAAUUUAUUUUUUAUAUGCUCAUUUUACAAAAUAAAUUAUAUAUAUAUAAAUUUAUAGUUAAAAAAGAAAAACUAAAAAAAUAUAAACUAAUAUUAAUAAAUAAUAUAUAAAUUAUUUUAAUAUAUUAAAUAAUGUAAUAUAAAUUUUUAUUUAUUUAUAAAAUUUAAAUAUUUUAAUUAUAAAUAUUGUUAAAUAUAAGAGAAUUUUUAAAUUUUUAAAUAGUAAUUAUUAGUGAUAUAAUUUUUAUUUUAAACAUUAAAAAAUGAAUAUUCUUUUAUAUUAUUUUUUUAUUCAUUUUAUAAAUUAAAUAUAAACAUAAUAUAAUAAAACAUAUUCACGUAUAAGUAUAUUUAAAGAUAUCAUAUUUCAUUGAAAAUCAUAUCUAUAUAUUUCUUAUCUAAUGGGAUAUGAUAACCUAAAAAAUGCAUAUUUUAUUCUAUCCUAUUUCGUCAAUAAAAAAUAGCCUUUAAAUAAAUCUAAUAUUUAAACACUACUUCAAUAUUUAUAGAAAGGGGAAAAAUGUUCUGUCUUACACUUGGGAAAUAAAAAAUAAAAAAAAAUAAUUAAACUUAGAUUUCUCAUAUCAAAACUAGUAUCUAUUCCAGCUAUGUAUUGUAAGCUUAGUUAUUUUUUGUUGAAUAUAUUAAAUUUAAAUUUUACAAAUUCAUUUUUCCGUUUUUCCAUUUUCUUUUUCCAAAACUCUAUACCGAAAUACCUCUAAAAAAACUCUACCAGACAGUCCUGCUUGGGAAUUGGUUAAAUAGGAUGGUGCCUCGGAAAGGGAAUGGAUAGAGCAUUUGUUUUAGCAUAGAAUGGAGAAUUUGGACCAUUAGAGAGAGAUAUUUGGCAAUUGGUGGUCCUUAGUUGUUGUGGCUUGUAGUGUAAGGCAACUGGCUUUGUGAUAUAACUGAUAAGAGGGGGUAGCCUGGGUCUUAGCAAACACCCAAAAAGACAAUUUUAUCACUUUCAGUUGUCAAAAAAUCCUUUGGUUCUCCAUCUACCUAGUCAUGGUGAGGUAACAGUGAGUUAAAUUCUAGUUUACUUUUUGAGACAUGAUGGUGAAGGAAAGAACAGUAGAAUAUGAAUGUCCAUAACUACAAAAACCACUGCAGAACAUCCAUGAAUUAUGGUUGCUACCUCAUUACCCUUCAAGAUUCAUCAGCAAAGUUAUCAAUAGGAACCAUUCACCAUAGCCAUUAACCAGUAAUGGUCUUCUCAUAAAAUGAAAAAGAAAUAAAACAUAUAUAUAUUGAAAUUAAGAAACUCUUCCUGCCAAACAUCUUCCCUGUGAAGCAAUGUACAUCACAACUGAUAAUCAAACAAAAGUCGAGUUAACCCAUGCUAUAGAGGGAUUUCACAAGCCGGUAACCAACUUAAAAUCAAAAUUUUUGCACAAAGUUUCAAGGAAGAUUUCCUUUUCUCAGGAACCAUAACAAAAGUGAAAUGAAACAAUGAGGAAAUAUGCAGAAGAUUCAGUAGCAAAAGAAAAUCAAUUAUUUCUUCCUUUUUUUUUUUCUUCCUACUACACUCCAUUUGGUCAUAGGAUUACAGAGCAAAAGGCAGUAGGGAGAUCAUAACUAAUAAUGUACUCAUAACAAUGUUGUACUACAUGGCUGAAAGCCAUUGCAGGGGGAUUAGGAAAAAACUGGCAACAAUAAUCUCAACUUCUGAAAAUUCUGAUUUGAAACCCAACCAACUCCAGGGUUUUGAUAUCUUCUAAUCAGUCCUGUCCCUCCUGGCAACAACAACAGAAUUACUAACCUUGAAUAAAUUGCUUACAAUUCAUAUAAAGUUCACAACAACAAGAAGGAAAUAUAAAACAAAAAGAUCAAAAUAUUUUGAACAACCUAAAGAACUGGUAAUACAGUUGAAAUAUUAGUGUGGCUAGGGAUCCUUGGUUUGUGGUCCCCAGAAGUGAAAACAAAGGGAUUACAUAAAACACAAUAUAAGGGAACAGCUGGUGACAACUGAAAGCUCUAUGAGGAACCUAAGAGAAUGUGUCAUAAUAGAUAAACAAGUUACAACAAAGAAACUACACAUGGGAUUUUACCUAAAUGAUAUGAAAAAACGGGAACUUGAAUGAUUCAUUGCCCAUUUCACCGUCAUGGAUUGACAGGGUUUAGGGGUUGUCCUUCCAAGUAGUCUUUGCAUCUCAUUCAAGUGGAUUCUUUUUUCCAUCUGAAAGUGGUGACUUGGAAAAUCUUUUGCACAAGGUUUCAGAAAAGACUUCCAGAAGUAAACACUUCCAUGCAUCUUGAAUCCAGGUAGGUUUCAGAAACAGAUUUCAGAGACGUAUUUGUCAAUGAGUUUUCAGAAGUUUUCCAAGGUCUAUUAUAAGUUUUGGAGAUGCUCUAAGCCUUGCAGACCAAAGGUAUUGAGAGGCUUCCCAAGGGACUCAGUUGUGACCUUUAGAGCAAAAGCCUAUCCGCUAGAGUAUGCUAUGUUCUAUUUAUAGUUUUUGAAGACAUCACAGUUCAAACCCUUUAUCAAGACAUGACUUCCACUAAAUAUCAAGAAGUAGAUUCCACUAAAGGGUGAUAGGUUGUAUUGUAAUUCAAUCUAUUAGAUGUCAUUUCUGGCGAAUCACCACCACCAACUUCUGAGCCCUCCAUUAGCAUAUAUAACAACUAAUAAUCACAUUCAUAGACCCACAACAGUACAUGUCACAGUAGUUAUUACUCUUGAUUUUGCAAUGUUUCUUAGUUAAACCAACAAGGAAAUGGAAACCUAAUUUCUUAUUCUGUUUGGUCUCAAUUUGCAUUGGCCUUUUUGGAAGCUAAAAGCACUUUUCUAAAAAAAAAAGAAACGGAUUUUAUUUGUAUGUAAGAUAAUUUAAUAACAAUACUUUUGACUUUAAAAAGAGCUUAACCUGGAAGUAAAGACAAGAUUGCUUCUCGUUAAAGUCCUUUCUCAGCUUAUGUAGGAAAUUGUUUCAUGUUUAACAAAAUUUUGUAGCACCAAAAUUGUCCCUUUGAAAUCAUGGUUUAUGGUUUGGCUUUAACCUAAAAGCAAAAGCAAAAAGCUAUCUAAAACAAGGCCUUAGUUUCAACUCAUAACUUGCUUCUUUUCUAACCCAGAUAUAUAUUCUUUUUUUUGAUAGGUAAGUGCAAAUUGUAUUAAAACACCAAAGUUUUCUAACCCACAUUAUAAUAUGUAACUAGAUUAAAAUUUAUCAGUGUCUGCUAAACUGAAUUUCCUACAAUUAUAAUAAAGAGCUAAAAUUAAUUUUAAAUCAAGUUGUAUCAAAUAAUGAUAUUUCUCUUCAGAGAAGCAGCUAUAAAACUAUUCAUUGUCUCUUAAUUUGCUUGCCAGUCUUGCUUUUUGGAAGUGCAUAUCUAGGAACUGAUUUCUAGGAUUAUCCUAUUCUAGUCCACUUGUUCCACCAGGCCACCACCCUAACCUUCCAGGUUCAAUUAUACUUCAUAUCCCUUCUGUAUUCACUGUUUCACCUUCUACCAAACUCACCUAUCUUUUACAUAUCUAACUUCAAUAAACUCUGUUCCUUCACAAUAUGAAUUCCUCAACAUACACUAGAUCAAGCUCAAAGGAUUUCCUGCAGAUUAGGUCUUUAGAAAAUAACAUUUUGGUGCUGUUUUCUCAGGCAUAUGUACCCAAGACUAGCCCUAGAGUCAAAUAUAGAAGAGAAUAAGAGAAUACAACUAAAAGAUUCCACAAAUUAAAACCAAUGUAGAACAAACCCACCUGAGAAGCAGGAGCAUCUGAAAUCUUAGGAGGCAGAAACAUUGCAGGGUAGCCACCAAACUUUUGAGAACACUCUGUAUAUGCAGAUCCAAGUCCCAGUCCAGCACCAAAAGCUACAGAUGCCCAGCGUGUCACAGGACUCCCUGACAUGACAAAUCAGAAUAAAAAUUCAAUUUUUUUUUUUUCAUUUUUAUUAUCCUGGUAUGGGAGAAGGGACUGCUUAGAGAUUCAAAUGUUAAUGUGAAGCGAAGGCUGCUGAUCUUAUGAUUUUAAAAUAUGCUUAUACUUAGGGCCUCAACUGACAUUAGAGUGAACAAUGCCUAGGAAAACUAGUUCAUGCACAAUAUUUGCUUAGAAAAUUAAAUGUCAAAAAAUUAUCAGAUUUAGUUCCAUCAUAAAGUAUUUAGAUGACUAACUCUUAAUUAAAACAUAAUUUAUUGGGUGUGAAAGUGGUAAAAAAACAUGUUAGUAUACCAAUUAACAAGUCAAAACAUGAUAUUACUUAACAUGACUGUCUAAAUUGUACACUACUGUACCAUCAGAAAAUUGCACUGACAACAGUAACUUUGUUUCUCCUUCACUAACCAGAUUCAGCUGAAUGAUUGUCAUUCUUGGUAAUAAUUUUGGUAAUCCCAUUGAGUGUGGAGGAACCGUAGUGUUCAAGUAUAUUGAGGACAUUGGAACAUUUGCUUUAUGGGACCAAAUUAGAGAUUCGAUUCCCUUUGGAUUCUAAGGAGGACCCACAAAACCUUUGUGAACAUUUUGCAAUGAGGCUAAGGCUUUGCAAGAUCCACCCAGGAAAUUGGGUCUUCAAUAGAAGAAAUCCAAGUAGACCCUUCUAAAUAGCAGAGGGCUAAGAGUGUUAACAAAGUCACUCGGGAUUCCUCUGCAGGGGGCAAAAGGAAGCCAGAGAGUUAAAAGAACCUUCAAACAGUAUGCUAUGCUGCUUCAGGCUCUAAAAGGUGUAUAGGAAGCAAUAAAGUUUGGGGUAAUCCACAAUUACAUUGCAAUGAAGUUUGAAUUUAGAUGGUAAAGAUGUUAAAAGCAUUUGAGAAGCUAGGCAAAAGGUGUGUAUCCUUACCUUGUUUAGGUGCUUGGGGAGAACAUCACUAUCAUCUAAACAACAGUUUUGUUGAAGAUGUCAGGGGCCUAGAAGAUUCCCUCACUUUAUCAAUAAAUUACACUUUGGGAAUGUUUGAAGGGUUGGUAAUUGAGUGCUACAUAUGGCUCCAGCAAACCUAGAUUGAGGUCAGAUUUGUGAGAAACCCUCUGGUUUCCAUGAUCUGAUGCUUUCACAUAAAUUGGAUUGCUAAACAAAUAACUUUUAGGAUACAAGAGGAAUUUUUCCCUUUUAUGCUUUGAUAAAUUAUAGUCAUCCUUUUAAGAAAAGAACUCUAAUUAUUCAUGCACAGUCACAAGAAUUUAUACCAUUAAGUUUCCCAUUUAAGUUAAAAUGAAUAAUUUAAGAAAAAUUUAUGCUUUGUUUAUUUUAUUUUAUUUUUUUUAAUGAAAUCAAAACCUUCUUUUGGUAUAAAGAAAGAGCCAAAGUUCAUGUAUGUGAGAGGUCUACACCAAGGAAAAGAGUAAACAGAAAGGAAGAAUGUAUUAAAAAACUAUAAGAAAAACAAAGAGGUUAAUUUAACUCCAUGCCAAUGAAGAUACACAUACACUUGGCAAAAAGGAACUUCAACUUUGCCAAAGGAAAUUCUUUAUCUUCAAAGAUUCAUUUCUACCUCACCUUCCAAAUCUUCCAAAACAUAGCAUGUGGAACACCAUUCCAACCUCUCCUUAGCCUUUUAUCACAAGCAAUACUCCACCCAAAAGAAAAUAAACCAACAUUCACAAGAUUGCCUGCUAAAUACCAAAAAAAUGAAGAAAUUGAAAAGCCCCAAGACCUGAAGGCAACCAAGGAAAAAUGAUCAACAAAUGCCUCAUGUUCUUCACACAUAAUGCACCAAUUAGAAAUGGCCCACUUCAUAUUUAUCAAGCAACUCAUUGUUAGAUGAUCACUGAAGGCAACCAUCCACAAACUGAAACUCACAGAAUAAAUUAACAAAAGAUACUCCUAUAAAAUCUUUAGCCUUGGACACUCCAAGAAAGAAAGGAAUAACCAAAAGCCUACUUAAGAUUAGAGAGAGGAACUCUGCUCCUUCAAAAGAAAAAUCUUCAUGUUUUGCACUUUCCAAAUGUUCCAUUAGAGAAAAACAGGGUUGUUGGCAAAAUAAUGCUACCCUCCCUCAUUGGAACCUCAAAGAAGCAUCCUAUGAUGGCCAACCUGGAUGAAACCUUUAGGCUUAUCAAACCCUAUGCCACAAGGUGGAGAACAUCUUAUGAUUGAUAACCAUUUGAUUUAGGCCUAAAUUAAGGGUCAUAGACAAGAAGGCCUAGAAUCUCAUGGUUCAAAGUCGUAGUAUCAAUCAUUGGUAUGAGACAUUCUGAGGCACACUGAUCUCAACCUAUGUUGUAUAGGUUUGGAUAUGAUUGUUGGAUGCAAGCACGUGUCUAAGUGUCUAAUCCUUCACAACUCAAAUUUUAGGAUAUGGGGACUUGACUAAAAAGGAUCCAAUACACAUGCACAGGUGCUAAGAUACAAUAUAAUAAAAGAAAAAUCAAUUAAAUGUAGAUUGGAAGUUGAAAGAAUAAAAGAAUAUCAAUGAAAGAAUCAAACACUCACAUCCAAAGUAAAACAGGAGUGUCCGACAAAGAUCCCAUAUCCAUCCCCAUAUCAUGUUAUGUUGACAUGGGUAUGUUGGGUGAAAUUGAAAGAUCUGGGAAUCAUAGAUCUCAACAUCUCAUUAGUAUCAGGUGAUACAUAAAAGAUGAAAAGAAUAAAAUGGAAUUUAUUUUUUUAUCUUUUCAAAAAAAAUGUUUAAAAUAAACAUUUUUUAAAUUUAAAAAUGCAUUUUUAACUAUUAAAAAAUACAACCAUUUUAAAACAAUAAAUCAUUUUAAAAAAAAUUAACAUUAUUUUUCCUAUCAAAUAUGCCCAAAAUAAAACAAUUAUAAAAUAUAAGAAUUUUUAUUAAUUUUAUUUUUAUUUGAAUAAGCAUAUCAUAAAAAAUAAAUAUGUUUUGUUAUACCUCAAUCCGUUAGUUUCCUAUUUUUAUAUCAAUUUCAUACAAACCCAAAUACCCAAAUACCUAUGCAAUCCAAUUUUCAACAUAUCGCUACACCCAACAAUAUAAAUCUGAUUACUACAUUUAAUCUCAUUCAAUCUCCAAGGUUAGGUCCUUUAGGAAACCUUUGACUGAAAGCCAACACCACCAAAGUUUCACCACAGCUCCACUCAACUUCUGAUCCACCUCCCCUAUUCCUAAACAGACCGAAAAGACCACAAAAUUACAUUUACAACUAAUUUCUCAUGCUUAAACCUUAUCCUCUUUCUUUCCUUUCAGGUCUCUUUUCCUCAGUACUGUUCACAUAAUUGACAAUUAAUUUAAACAAAAUAUUAAUCAACUUUAAUUGUAAUCCACAUUCCUAUCAUUUUCUGCCCAUGGAUCGGGACAAAAAUACUCAUUCAGUAACAGGACAAUGCUUGGCAGACCUCCUUGCCCAUGGAAACGACCUUGGGAGUACCAAAUAACUACUUGAAGGUUGGUUUCAAAGGUGACCAAGCUAUCUCAAGUAAGCAGAAAUCAAUAUUUGUUUAAGUGAAUGCUAAGGCGCCUGAGCUAACACAGGGCCUCAAGUAUAAGACUUAGUGAUCGAGGCAUAAUACCUCCAGCACAUUGAGUGUAACACCAUGGCCUUUGAGCCUGAGCCAAAGCUACUAAUGAUUUGACACCCUAGUACACUAGUUCUACAUGGUCCUAUUAUUAGGGUACAUCACCAUUCACCACCACAUGCACUUGGAGCCAACUAAGUUCCUAGCUAAGGUGCCAUACUCCUGAACAAAAAACGUGGAGGAUUCCCCACAAUUCUGAGAAUGCCAAAAAUGGGGAGGAUGAAAGUAGGAGCCCAAUGAAAUGAAAAUCACCAGCACUGGUCACUCUUGUCCAAUCAAAGUGAAUCAUCAAACCAGCUAAAAGGCGUCAUUUCAAUCCAAUAUAAAUUUUUUGCAAAGCAUGCAAACAUAAGGAGAAAAGAAAAGGGAUUCCUAGUGCAUAAUCUUAGUUCCAAAUGUUUCCAAUCUAAUAAACACCAUAUCUAUUAGAAAAUGCGGAAAAACUCCAUAAUAGGUUAAUUGAGCAUUACGUCCUGCUUGGUUGCCAAGAAAAUGUAGGAAAAAACAAACAAACGAAAUUCCCUCACUAAAAAUAAUAACUUUUUUUUUCCUCCAUAUUGAUUGAAAAUUACCCGGUUGGACCACCAAGAAAAUGCAGGAAAAAAAAAAAAAACAAACAAACAAAAACAGCCACAACUCAAAACUCUAAACAGUUCAUCUUCUUCAGGUUAGUUGAACUUUUACCCCGCCAAAAAAAUGCAGAAAAAUUAAUUAAAAAAAAAUAGAAUUUCAUGAAUUCCUUUUCCUUCCCUUUCCUUCAGCUUGAAUGAACAUGAAACCCCGGGUUGUGGGCCAGAAUAAAUUCGUAAUCCCGCACCGUUUGGUUGGUAAGACAAAGGAGUAAAAUAAAAAUUUAAAAUCAAACAAAUGAAAAUCCAUAGCUAAAAAGCCUAAUCCCCCCUUCCCUUCACGCAGAUUGAAGGAUAAGUCCCGUUUGUUUGCCAAGAAAAUGUGCGAAAACAAAAAUCCAAAAUUUUACAGGAAACCAAAAUGAUGAAUGAAUAGGAAGAUGAAUAAAAAAAAUAAAAGAGGAAGAAGACUGACUGAAGAGGAGGAGGCCGCCAAAAGCGCCCGCGAAGGAAGAGUAGACGAAGCGGCGGACGGUGAGAUCAAGACAGGCGUCCCAUUUGGCAUCCAGAUCGUAGGGUGGAGGGAUCUGCUUGUUCUCCGCCAUUGAUAUGAUCAAAUACAACCACUUUCUUCUUCCUCUUUUCUCUUUUUCUUCUGAUAGAAAGGAAUUGUUUGUUUAUUCUUUGGAGAAAUUGGGAAGAAGGGUUUGUUUCCCGUACGACUAGGGCUCAGCAUUGGGCUUGAGAGUAUUUGGCCCGGCCCAGUAAACACUUGGGCACGGUUUUCAUUCACAGGCCCAUAACUAUGUUCCUUUCACAGUAAUCAGGGAAAAUUACAUGGAUACCCUCGAGAUUAAUGACAAUUAAUCAGUGAGAACCUGAAUUUUCUGAAAUUACGGACCAAACCCUUGGCUAAUAGUGUGACCGUUGGAUUGCUGACGUGCUAAAAGUUAAGAAAAUGUCUAAAUGGCUUUAGUUUAGUUUAACCUGCAUAGAUAUUUAAAGGGUUAUUUUAUUAAAAGACUCAAUGAAAACCCAAUUUUAAAAAUUUAACGCUUCAUCGUUUUUUUUGUUUCAUUUGGAUGGAAAUGUUCUUGUUCUUUUCUUAUAAAAAUAACAAUUUUUUUUAAAACCUAUGUGUAAAUGUUUGAAAUAAUAAAAGACAUUUAUGUUAAAAAUAGGUUGAUCUUCAUGUCAAAAUGUGGUAAGGGUUAAAUUCAUAAGUUUGGAGAUUAUUUCAUCCAUUUUUAACCGAUUAAUUCAUAUCUAGAAUGUCUUUACAAUUUUAUCUUCUAUUAUCCUAUUUCCCUCUACUUAAUCAUGUCAUUAAUUAUAAUCAAAUUUCUUCAAAUUUUUAUAUACAUAACCUAAUUAACAAAAACCUAAUUAAUUUUAAUUAGAAUUAUUAAUUAAAUAGGAUUCCUAAAUAAACUUUAAUAACUAAUAAAAGUAACCCAAGAAUAUUCAUAUUGUAUAAUAAAAAAUAGAAUUAUGAAAUAAAAAUAUUUUCCUAUUUAAUUUUUUAAUAGGAAAUUAUUAAUAAAUAAUAGUAAUAUUAUACCAUAGAAAUCAAUGUAUAAACUAAAACCAAUUUCAUUUUUAAAAUUAAAUAUAACUUCAAAUAAUUAUUAAAUAACAUUGUCAAAUAAUUUGACGCUCCCAUCCCAUUCAACUCCUAAUGGAUAGAGUUUGAGAUAAAGAUAAACAAGAUUAGAAUGCAUUUGUGAGGUUAUUUAUGGCAUGCUCUAAGGCUAUUUUUCAUCAAGGGAUAUUGACAUAAAUUAUCUUAUUAUGAGAGAAAAAUAUAAAAUCAUAUAAUUUCAUUUGAACCCAUCAACAUGAGCAUAAUGAUUGUUUACAAAAUCUCUUUAUUGUUCAUAAGGACUAUGAUGCUCUAUCAUGUCUUCAUUAUGUGUAUAUCGUAAUGGAAUAAUAUUCAAAUAAGACAUGUUAUAUGUUUGACACUAAAGUUAGACCAUGAAAACUCAUGGGGAUAAUGAGAUUCUUUUAGUUAAGAUUCUCCAUUUAAACAUGUUUAAGAAAAAUGUUAAUAUACUAUGAGGCAUGUUUGGAAUUACAUUAUAUAUAUAUAUAUAUAUGAUUACUAUAAUCGCUAUUUAUAGUUUGCUUAUUUAAAUAAGUUAAACUUUUGAACUUAGAAUGAUUAUGGAUACACUUGACUACUUAUCGAGUCAUCAUUGUACAUCAAGUAAGAGAAUGUUUAGACCUUAAGUGGUCUUAAUGACCAUACUAAAUUUCCGUUUGGUAAAAUAAAAUAUUUCAUGGUAUCUUUUUGUUUCUAUGUGCAUGUAAAUACAAUUGAUAUCCUACAUUCACUUAUCCUUUUUCUAGUUCCCAUUCAUAUAUUCUUAUAAUGUUAACUAGAUUCAUUAUAAAUGAACUCAAAAUUCAUUAAAUUCAUGUUCCACAAUUUAUCACAAGGAAGAAAAUAUAAAGAACCUAAUUUUUGGUUCACUAAUAGAAGAAUCAUAAUGGAAUAUAUAUAAAAAGCUCUUGGUCCUCUCCUCCGUUAUCAUUCCUUCCAUUUGAAAGUUUUAUCCUUAUAGGCCCAUUAUUAAUGUUAAUCCUAAAUGAAUGUUUGAUAAAUCAACUUAAUACCUUAAAAUGAUUUAAUAACUUAAUUUAAGUUAUUAAGUAAAUUAAGUAGGUUUAAUAAAAUAAUUUAAUGAUAUGAUUUAAAGUAAAAAACAACUUUAAGUAAUACUAAAAAUAAUUAACUUAUUUUUAAAUUCAUAUAUUCAUUUUAUAUUUUUACCCUCAUUUGUUGUAGUUACCUCCAUGAUCUUUUUUGUUAUUCCAUAACUUUUACUGUUAUUUGAGUUUUUUUGCCUUAAUAAUAAUUUAUGAGGCUAAAUAUAUAAAUUUGAUGAUUUAAAAUAAAUUUUAAAUUAAUUUUAUCAAACAACCUUAAUACUUAAAAUAAUAAUUAAGAAAUAAGUUUUAAGUUAAUAACUUAAGUAUAAUUUAACUUGAAGUUAACUUAAAUCAUUAAGUAAUAAAUAUUAAGUUUCACCAAACGUAUGUUAAGAGAGAUCAAGAGAGUGAAGAUUGUCUGCAACCAUCAAAGCUUAGCAUUGUAUAUCAAGACUCAUUUUUUUAUAUUCAAAUCUUAAAAAGUUUUAUUGUUAUUAAUUAAAUAUCAUGAAAUUUACACGUUAAGAUAUUUUAACAUAUGAUUUUGGAAAUUUUGUACCAUUUUCUUAUAAAUUUGGAUAAAAAUAUGUUGCAGUAUAUGGUUUUAAACAGUAGUGACUAUAAUGAAUAUCAAAUUUAGAAAAACAUUGUUAUAGUAAUAUUAUUUCCACUAUUAUAUUCAUCAUGACUUUCUAUGAAUAGUAGAAAGAUGUCAGUUUGCUCUUGCAAAUUAAGGUGAUUUAAAGCUCAUAAUCACUCAAAGUCAUUGGCUGCUUCUCACAGAAUUCCAAAGCUACAUAUGAUCGAUCGACAGAGUGAAAUUUAUGUAUUUAAGUAGUUGUUCUAAGACUUGAUAUAUUCAAGCUGUUCUUAUUACAUUACAGCAACCAUUCCUCGCCAGUCUCCUUCCACCCUAGGAGUUUAUUUUGGUACAAUAUAUAGGAGGACUUUAUUUAUUUAUGGUAAACGAGGAUCUUUAGUUCCAUGGUCGCUCACACCUUAAAGCUCCUGAAAGGACAUCAGCUCAUUACACUGAUUAUGCUUCUUCCACACAAUUGCCUCGUAGUCGCCGGAGGUGCCGGCGAGAUCGGCUUUGAUAUGGAGUUUGUAAAUGUUUCCUGCCAGGUGCUGAAACCACCCCAUAGAAACUUUCUCGAAUGCCAGGUUCCAGUUUUCCUUCUUGUUCUGCUCCUCCACGGCGUAUUCUCCCAACUCCUGGAUGUGCUUCUCUUCCACGUCUUCGACCUUGGUCCAUCUGAUAGCUUGCGUGUGAGCCAUGAGACUUGUAGAACUUGUGGGUUUUGGAUGGGUUUUUGUGGGGUGGUGGUGGGUUGGAUUUAUAGACUGGAAAGAGACAGGGAUGCGAACUGCCUUUCCACUUUCUCGGAAGAAUACGAAUCUAGUUUUGUAUGGAAACUGACCUUCAUAUUAUCAGGUUUAUUUGCAUGGGAUAUAAUAAAAAGGAAAAAAAAAAAAAGAGAGAGAAAAAAGACCUAAAUAAAGAAAGAAAAAGCAAGUACAAUUUUUUAGGGGCUUUCUUUUUUUCUUUUCCUUUUCAAAUUAACAUUAACUUCUCUAAUUUAAAACUUGAUAAAAUUUUAGAAUAACAAAACCAUUAGAAAAAAGUUAUUCUCAAAGUCAUGUUUAAUAAUAGUUUUUUAAAACAAUCUUAUGUUAUUUAGAAAAAGGAAAACACGUUAGACAAUUAGAGAAUAUAAAAACAGUUUUCUAUUAUUAAAAAUCGAGAGCAAAUGUUUUUAGAAAAUAAUUUUAAAUUAUUUUUACUUAUUUUCUAAGGACAAUUCUAAAAAUAAUUAUAUAAAUAUGGAGACCAAUUAAAAAUAAACUAGUAUAAAUAAAAGUUAUUUUUAAAACUAAUUAAAAAAUAUAUUAAAAAUAUUUGAGAUUCUCAAACAAAUUUUUGUUUUAUAAAACUCUAAAAAACAAUUUUUAAAAACUAUGCUUUAAAUUCAUUUUAAAAAAACACUUUUCAAAGAUCAGCAAAGUUUUUCUUUUCUAAAAGGUAAAAUUAUAAUUAUUUUUUAAUAUAUAUAUAAUAAUUCUCCAUUGACACAAUAGCCACGUAGUGCGCCUUUACUAUGGAGAAUGAGCAUAUGGUCCGGGAUAGGAGUAGUGGGUUUCAAAAUAUUCUAUCACAUGAAGAAAUAGAUAGAAAAAUCGUCUGUUUCUAAUUUUUUAUUGAACUUCAUAUUCUUGUUUGGUGAUUGAUGUAGGACCAUGGAAUCCUUUAUACGUUUUUAUCUUCUCUUUUUCUAGUUGCUGCAGGAUAAGAGAAUGAAUGAACAAUUCUAAGGCCUAUCACAAAAGAAAUAGAUCAAAAGAAUUAUCUUUUUCCAAUCUUAUUACAUCUUUUUAUUUUUUAGUUAAUAAUGUACGAAAUAGAAUUAACGGUCUAUUUAUAUGCUCCUUCCCCACAAGUGAUGAAAGAAAAUGGAAUUAAUUCUUGAAGGAUAAUUGUUGUAGUAGUUGGAGUUAAUUUUGAGGAAGAAAGAAUAUGGGAAAAAAAAAAAUUAGGGAAGCAAAGAAGAUUGUUACAAGGGGAAUGAUAAAUAAUUUAUAAUUUGAUAAGUUGUAAAGAAAAAAAGACAAAGUAAUUGAAAGAAGGAGAUCGAGAAUCGUAUCCUUUUAAAUAUUUUGAGAUAUAUUAUUCAUAUGUGGACAAUGUCUAUACUAUCUCCUCAUCUCCACUUCUGAACUUAUUACCCAUCUCUAGCUUAUUUCUUAUCUUAGAUUGAACCGGAUUGAGAAUCUUUAUUAGGAAAACAAAUUCCUCAUCAAGACCAGGAAUCUUAUUUAGUUGGUUUUUAAAAUUUUAUAAUUUUAGUUUUAAAAAAGUUAAAAAUAAAAUUAUAUAUAAACUAGUAUAUCUAAAAUAAAAUCUUUUAUUAUAUUAAUAAUAAACUAGUAAUAAAAAAUAUUAUUGUAGACCCCCAUUUUGGGGAGCUAUCAUUCUUCUCACGUUUCCUUUCUUGCAGUUAGCUGUGGCCAAGUGUCACCAUCUUGCAUGGCCACGUGUCAUUCCCGGAUUAGUCAAUAUGAGAUCAAAAUAGUGGAAUUGAUGGACCAAUCAGAAGAAUAUUUGGCUGUUGAGAGGAGCGUAGGAGAGGGGUGCUUUUUCUGCCGGCUAAAAGAUAUUUUGAAGGGAUCUUUUUCUGUUAAGGGUGAGGCUUUUUGAGUGGAGUAAGGGAGGCUGGCAGCUGGGUGAGGUGCCGGGGAUGCAGUUAGGAUAUUUUUGGGCGGGAGGAGGUUUGGCAGAGGAUGGAGAGGCUGGUGACAGAGCAGAGAGCUUUAGAGAGAAAAGUGAGAGAGACAUUAGAGCUUUAAGGGAGGAUAGUUUAGCUUAAGGAAGGUGAGAGAAGGGAGAUUCUGGAGAAGCAAGCUGAGAGAACCAGAGUGCCUUUAGGAUGAGAGAGAGGUAACUGGGGGGAGGAUGUUUGCUGGAGAGUUGUGGACAACUUGAGGAAAAGAUGAGCCGAGAGUGAAGGAGAAAGGAUCUGAGAAAGAUAGAGUUGAAGAGGCGAGAGGAGGAACAACUCAAGAACUUUGAAAGACCAUCUCCAGGUACAUUGGUGGUAAUCUCUUGGACUAUUCUCACUCACUCUGUUUUCUUUCUAUCUCACAUUUUCUCUUGCUGUCUCUGUUUUCUUUUAUGAUCCUUGGUUAGUUGUUCGGGUAUAAGUGUGAUGCUGUAUUACUUUCCUCUGUACUUUUUGCUUAUUUGGAUAUGGCUCAUUCCCCUUUUGGUAUUUAUUUUAAACUCUCCUGAUGCACCACUGGCCAAAACCCCUGGAUCUCAAUAUGAAAGGGGAUCCCACUUAAUGCUUUGCUCACUCUGUUUACUCUGCCAUGGGUACACUAUAUCUUGUUUUAUUUCUUCCUCCAUUUCCGGUAUCUCAAUCCAUAUUUUGGUUUCUAGCUCAUGUUCCUGGAUUUGUUUUGGACUAUUGGUUUUGUGUUCUGGUUUGUGCUUGAGGGGAGAGGGUGGUGCUUUGGCUACUGCCACAGAUUCAGGGUUCCCAGUGGACGAGAUGCAGAUGAGUGAUACUGGUCCUUGAGGGUCUUGCACCGAGAUACAUUUUGGUAGAAUUGCUAAUAGUGAUGCUGUAUCAUUGGCCGACAAUGACGUUCCUCGUGUUAAGAUAUGGAACUUUUGUGUUUAUACAGUUCGACAGGGAAAGAGAUGGUUCUCUUAAAUCUCUGCCUGCUAAACAUGUCAACGCCGGAACGGGUUUUGAAAGAUUGACUUCCAUUCUUCAAGGCAAGACGAGUAAUUGUGAUAAUGAUGCACUCUUACUCGUCUUUGACGCUAUUCAACAGGCGACUAAUGCCUGAUCAUAUUCAGGGAAAGCUGGAUCAAAUUAUACAGAUAAAGUUGGCUUGGCAUACAGAGUUGUCGUUGAUCACUUAAGAACCUUUUCUUUUGUUAUUGUUGAUGGAUCUUGCCCAACUUAGAGCACUUUUGACUAGUGGUUUGGGUAUGGAUGGGAAACCACUAUGAAGGACGAUGCUGUUAUGAUGCUUGCCCGUUUUAAUGAUCAGGGAAUUUGGAUAUGGCAUUUUGUGUUUAUCAAGAAACCCAUGGGAUAUGGCAUAAAUGUUCCCUACAACAGCUUCAUGUCAAUCAAGAAACCCAUGCUCUGCUACAGAUGUUACUUAUCCUUACAAAAUUGCGUAUCUUACCAAUGGUUCUGGUGCACAUAUUAUAUUUGGUUGUAGUGAGGACCAGAUUGGCUCCUUUUUGGAUGGGGUUACUCUCAAUGGCAUAUUUGGAUUUGGUACGAGCGGUGUUCGUUCCUAUCAUUUUAGCAAAGGAAAGGCCAUUACUGUUGGGGUAUAUUGAGAAGGCGGGAACCCUUGACAAUGGAGUCUUCCCCUGCACGCAUUGUAUUGAGUGGAAGCCGAUAACCCCAACCCAGAUCAAUGGAGCCGACACCCAGACACUCAUGCCUGAAGCUUCAAAUUCCUAACCAAUCGGAACCCAUCUUCAUCAAGGCCACCUGGUUUCCUUCCCAUUUCCACCUCUCUAUCACCGACAGCCUCCACACCUGGCUCUGUAACGCAUCGGAAGACGAGGUCCGAGAGCGAGCCGCCCAGUGGGAUCAACCUGUUUCUGAUUACAUCGCCUUGGCUGAGCGGUUCCUAGGGUUUCAGCAGCCCGGUUCGGUUUACGGGUUCUCCGACGCGGGUGACGGCCAUAGAAGAUUGCCAUGGACAUUUGAGAAGGAAGGGACUAAGCUAGAAUGGCGGUGGAAAUGUGGACCCUUCAUUGGAGCUACUCUAGCUACCCUGCAGCCACGUGUUUCAUGCAGAAUGCUUGGAGCAGUUGACUCCAAAUCAAGCCUCCACCCUUGCAUGAACUAUGCAUGGCCACCUUUGACCACGUGUCACCUCCUUUUAUUCCUCUCAUUUCACCAUCCUUAGUUUUUGAAAAUAAUCUUCCUAAACUCUAGUUUGCGAAUAAUUUUUCAAAUUCCUUUUUUUCAAAUAAUUUCAUCUGUUUAAUUUUUCAUCCUUAGUUUUUUCGUUUAGGUUCCAAAAAUCAUCUUUUCAAUAAAAUUUGGCCAUCAUUCUCAUUCUGGUAGGUCACUUUCAAAUUUUCUUUGUUUUUUUAAAUGUUUUAAAAUAAGCAUGAAUUAAAUUCCGUAAUUCCGAAUAAUGGAAUUUAUGGAAUUAAUUCAUGCAAAAAUAAACGGGCUUUGGUGGGGACCCUACAUAAGUGAUUUCCUUAUGAUUAAUUUAUCGAUUGAUUUAAUUGCCAUGAAUGAUAGAUUUUAUUAUGCUCUGUGACAUGUCUCGUGAUUGUUAUUAUGCUUUCCUCUCUGGAUAGCGCAUGGUGGCUCGUUGAUCAGGUACACAUCUAUUCUCACUUUGGUCACUCUAUAUACAUGUAUUGAUUCCCAUAUGUGCAUGAUCAAUUCGGGUAUCCAUUGAUUUCUUUAUUAGAUGCCACGAUUGCUUCAUUUUAUUAGUAGAGACCCGACUUUAGGGACUUAAAGGGGUGCUACGGUCUUUACCGUACCUUCCUGAUAAGUAACCUGACCCCCGAACCCGAUCCGGUUUUUCAUGGACCGCAUUUUCCAAAACAAGGAGUCACACUUAGGGGUUUUCUUUCUUAUUUUGUUUACCCUUUAAAUAAUAAAACAAAAAUAAGUGGCGACUCCAAGUCAUUUCUUUUUAAUAAAUAAAAAUCAUUUUCAAAUAAAAAUCGAGCUCGCCAUCGAGUGGGAAACGCAAUGAGUUGAAAUGCGGGGUCCACAAAAUGGUGUGUCAAACUCGUACCGAUGCGGGGUCCACAAAAGGUGAUCCAACCGAUACCCAAACUCGUACCGAUCUCAGAGCACUCUCAACUGGAGACUAAAAAAAAGAGGGAGUGUCAAAUCCGAACUAUGACUACAGAGGCUACUAAAAGCCCUCAGAUGCACCCACGUGUAAAGAGGAAGUCCUAAUCGAAGGAUCUACGGCUCAACCUACGAGGUCAAUGGUGGCUCUAAAUGGAUAUGGGUGGACUUUAAAAGAUCCAUAGCAGAAGCGAUCAUACCUUCCAACGGUACGCAACCCUCUACACACCUCCUAAGAGACGGGACGCUUCCAUGCAAGGUGGUCAUCACCUCCACACAUGCACUACCUCGACAUCCCAAGGGAUUUCCUAUGGUGAGACCUCUCAAAACUCUCAACGCUUAAUGGUCGACUAGAGUGCACAGUGAACGGUGUGGGUGCAUCCGAAAACCUUAUGAAACUAAAAGAGAACACACUGGCCACACAAAUAUCCUGAAAUCUAACUCUGGGCUAUAUAAGUCUUCGAAGUUCGGACUCCAAUCAGCAUCAAUAUGUCGACCACCUCCAGAAUGCUCCCAAACAUAGAUAUAGCCCAUCGCUAGACCCUACUCCUAAUCACUAGCUCGGUCGAAGAGAAAACAAAGCAACAAGUCUCGUAUCAAAUAUGAGACCAAGGAAAACAAUGUCGACCGAGACUAGGGACUUGAAAAUAAGGAGAUAAGUGUGUGUCCCACAUAGACACGCAACUCAUGCAGUCACAUCAGAAGAAAGGCAGUCACGCGACAGGCAGUCAGGCAGAGUACAAGAUAUAUCACUCAUGCACACAUACAAGCUAUGACAAUCAGAUGAAAAAGUGAUACAAAUAUCAUGCUCAAAGACAAUCAAGAGAAUAUAUAAUCCAGACAAUCGACAUGUCAAAUCAAACGAUGUAUAACAAUGAAUCCAUAUAUGCAAGGUGGUCAAAACAAUCAUGGCAAAUAUCAGGAUGACUAUGCUAAGCAAGGCAAGAUGAUCAAUCAAUAUAAUCAGUAUGUCAGUGUACUCAACAAUCAUGGAAAUGAAGCAUAGAAAAAAAACAAAAUCCUCAAUCAAGAUAAUCAAUCUCAUAAUCAGCAUGUCAAAUAUCUCAUACAAAUAUAUCAAUGAAGCAUGAAGAAACUGGCUAUAUUAGAAUCCUCAAUCAAAAUAAUCAACCAACANNNNNNNNNNNNNNNNNNNNNNNNNNNNNNNNNNNNNNNNNNNNNNNNNNNNNNNNNNNNNNNNNNNNNNNNNNNNNNNNNNNNNNNNNNNNNNNNNNNNCCAUUUUGUGGACCCCGCAUUUCGGCUCAUUGCGUUUCCCACUCGAUGACGAGCUCGAUUUUUAUUUGAAAAUGAUUUUUAUUUAUUAAAAAUAAAUGACUUGGAGUCGCCACUUAUUUUUGUUUUAUUAUUUAAAGGGUAAACAAAAUAAGAAAGAAAAACCCUAAGUGUGACUCCUUAUUUUGGAAGAGGCGGUCUGUGAAAAAUCAGAUCGGGUUCAGGGGUUAGGUUACUUAUCAGGAAGGUACGGUAAAGAUCGUAGCACCCCCUAAGUCCCUAAAGUCGGGUCUCUACUAAUAAAAUGAAGCAAUCGUGGCAUCUAAUAAAGAAAUCAAUGGAUACCCGAAUUGAUCAUGCACAUAUGGGAAUCAAUACAUGUAUAUAGAGUGACCAAAGUGAGAAUAGAUGUGUACCUGAUCAACGAGCCACCAUGCGCUAUCCAGAGAGGAGGUUAGUGCAUAAUAACAAUCACGAGACAUGUCACAGAGCAUAAUAAAAUCUAUCAUUCAUGGCAAUUAAAUCAAUCGAUAAAUUAAUCAUAAGGAAAUCACUUAUGUAGGGCCCCCACCAAGGCCCGUUUAUUUUUGCAUGAAUUAAUUCCAUAAAUUCCAUUAUUCGGAAUUACGGAAUUUAAUUCAUGCUUAUUUUAAAACAUUUAAAAAAACAAAGAAAAUUUGAAAGUGACCUGCCAGAAUGAGAAUGACGGCCAAAUUUUAUUGAAAAGAUGAUUUUUGGAACCUAAACGAAAAAACUAAGGAUGAAAAAUUAAACAGAUGAAAUUAUUUGAAAAAAAGGAAUUUGAAAAAUUAUUCGCAAACUAGAGUUUAGGAAGAUUAUUUUCAAAAACUAAGGAUGGUGAAAUGAGAGGAAUAAAAGGAGGUGACACGUGGUCAAAGGUGGCCAUGCAUAGUUCAUGCAAGGGUGGAGGCUUGAUUUGGAGUCAACUGCUCCAAGCAUUCUGCAUGAAACACGUGGCUGCAGGGUAGCUAGAGUAGCUCCAAUGAAGGGUCCACAUUUUCACCGCCAUUCUAGCUUAGUCCCUUCCUUCUCAAAUGUCCAUGGCAAUCUUCUGUGGCCGUCACCCGCGUCGGAGAACCCGUAAACCGAACCGGGCUGCUGAAACCCUAGGAACCGCUCAGCCAAGGCGAUGUAUAUAGAGAAAUAUACUGCUGGAUUAAAUAAACUAUUUCCUCCUCUGUUAUUCAAUUGAUCUGUACGUAAAUACAUACAAUAUCACAGAGAACUAUUUUAGGAAAUAUUUACAGCAAUUACUAUGACAAAAUAACUAUAUACCAAUCUCGGCUAAUAAUCACAUAAAUAGAAACAGAUCAAAGACUUUAUUCAAAUGGCUUGAUUGUAGGCUGAAAUCAUGAAGGUUUGACUUGAUCUUGAUUUUGGCAAUCUUCCUUAAUACGCCCCCGCAAGAUUGAGCUUCCAUCGGCAAGACCAAUCUUGGUACAUAACAAUUCAGUCCGUUGCCGUGACAAGGGUUUUGUCAAGAGAUCAGCAAGUUGAUCUUGCGUGUGAACAUGACGAACAUGAAGGGUCCCAUUUUGAACAAGCUCUCGGACAAAGUGUAAAUCAAUCUGAAUAUACUUCAUGCGAGAAUGAUUAACUGGAUUAAAACUCAGAUGUGUGGCGCCAAGAUUGUCACAUAGCAACAAGGGAGGCACCUUGAGUGGAAAACCGAGUUCAUGAUGUAAGGAGUUCAGCCACACAGUUUCAGACGUAGCAUUGGCAAGAGCACGAUAUUCAGCUUCCGUCGAUGAGCGAGCAAUAGCUCGUUGUUUCUUGGAGCUCCAAGAAAUGGGAUUUGUGCCAAGAAAACUAAUAUAAGCCGAAGUAGAGGUUCUGUCAUCCACAUUCCCUACCCAGUCAGCAUCAGAGAACGUGGUUAAAACUGAAGUUGUGUUUCUAGUAAGCUGAAUACCAUGAAAAAUGGUUUGUUUCAAGUAACGAAGCAGUCUCUUCGUGGCUGUCCAGUGGGCUGUAGUUGGCUUAUGCAUGAAUUGAGAUAGCUUAUUCACAGCAAACGAAAUGUCCGGUCGGGUCAGUGAAAGAUACUGAAGACUACCAAUGACACGCCGAAAGUCAGUGCUGUCAACAGGUGCUGUGCCAUCAAACAAUUUCAGAGAAGCAGUUGUGGAUAAAGGAGUGGACACAUCCUUAGCACCAAGCAUAUUCGUUGUGGACAAUAAGUCACGAAUGUAUUGAUGCUGUGACAAGAAUAGACCAGCACGAGUAGGAAUAACCUCUACUCCCAGAAAGAAGCUAUGGUUUCCCAUAUCUUUUAGGGAAAAAUUUUCACCCAAUUUCUGAAUUAUGUGAUCCACAAACUGAAUAUCAUUGCCAGUAAUUACAAGAUCAUCAACGUAAACCAAAAAAUAGCAAAUGAUAGGACCAUGUGUAUAAAUAAAUAGAGAAGAAUCAGCUUUGGAAUUUUUGAACCCAAGCUGAAAAAGAGCAGUUCUUAGAGUUGUGUACCAAGCUCGAGGAGCCUGUCGAAGCCCAUAAAUGGCUUUUCUCAAUCGACACACAUGAUCAGGCUUACUGGUAUCUUUAAACCCUGGAGGUUGCAUCAUAUAAACAGUUUCUGUGAGGGUUCCAUGUAAAAAAGCAUUGUUGAUGUCCAUUUGGCGUAAAGGCCACCCAUUCAUCACGGCUAUAGUCAAAACACAUCGAAUAGUGGCUGGCCUAACAACAGGACUGAAGGUUUCCUUGUAAUCUAGGCCCGGUCUUUGAGUAUAGUCUUUGGCCACAAGCCUGGUCUUAAAUUUGUCCACCGAGCCAUCAGCUUUGCGUUUUACUCUAAACACCCAUUUACAGCCCACGGGUGUACAGUUUGGGAGGGGUGGAACCAAAUCCCAGGUUCCAUGUUUCAUCAAGGCAGUGAGCUCAGUGGACAUAGCAUCACGCCACUGAGGAUGGUUCACGGCUUGAGUUGCACAAGUUGGCUCAAUUGCUAGAGGAAUGGGAUGUUUGGAAACCAAAUGAAGUUGCUUGGGUUUAAAGAUGUUGUUCAUGGAACGGGUUGUCAUUUUGUGGAGACGAGGGUUCCCAGUUUGAACACACGAAGGGGGAAUGGAAUGGGACUGAGAUAAAGUAAGAUCAGCAACCGUGUGUGUGUGAGUCGGAUGAAGGGAGGAAAGAAGAACAGGGUCAUGCGAGAUGAGAACAUUUGAAUGAGAACCGGAAUUUCUAAGAACAUCAGUCAAAGGAAAAUUAGGAGAAGAGAGAGGGGGCUUACCUGGAGGUGAUGGAGAUGCAGCAGAAACAUCGGUCGGAAGCACAUGUGAUGGUGCCGAAUCAGAGGAGUGCACGGACGGAAUCACUUGAGGAGGAACUCGCAUGGGCUGAGAAGAAAAUGGAAUAAAGGAAGUAGGGCACAGAUGAGAAGAAGACUCGGGAUGGGCUGGGCUCUGGGCUUGCUCGGAUUGAAAAGGCAGUUGGGUCUCAUCAAAUAACACAUGCCGAGACACAUAAGUUUUGUGGGUCUUAAGAUCCAAACAAAUAUAGGCAUUUUGAGUUUGAGAAUAGCCCAAAAAAAGACAUGGAAUGGACUUAGGUUGCAUCUUGUUAUUAUUAUAUGGACGUGUAAGGGGAUAGCAAAGCGAACCAAAUUUUUUUAAUUUAAGAUAAUUUGGUUUCUGUCCAAAAAGAGCCUCAAAGGGGGACUUGUUGGUGAGAAGAGGAGUCGGUUGCCUAUUUAUGAGAUAGGUGGCAGUUCGAAAAGCAUGAGGCCAAUAUGAAAGAGGCAAGGAAGCAUCCGAAAGUAAGGUGAGGCCAGUUUCAACAAGAUGUCGAUGACGGCGUUCAGAGACUCCAUUUUGUUGCGGGGUGUAAGGAGCAGUAGUAUAGUGACUAAUGCCGUGAAGAUUUAAAAAAGGUUUGAGAGAAAUAAAUUCACCACCAUUAUCGGAGUAAAGGGUUUUAAUUUUGGCUUGAAACCGAGUUUCAACAAAAAUUUUAAAUUGUGGAAAAAUAGUUGACACACUCGAUUUGGUAGCCAUGGGAUAAAACCACAUGUAUAUCGUGUAGUGGUCCACAAAAAGAAGAUAAUAACGAGAACCAUCAAGACCCGUUGAGUGUGCGGGACCCCAAACAUCCGUAUAAAUAAUUUUAAGUGGACCAGUACUCGAAAGACUAGUUGUGCGAAAAGGUUGUUGAUGAGAUUUAUUAAUAGAACAAGAACGACAUAACAUGGUUAUUUUAUUUGUAGUGGUAGGAAGAGAAAAAAUAGAAACAAGAUUUUUAACAAUGGGAUAGGAAGGAUGACCAAGACGCUUGUGCCACCCAUCAAGCAACAUCCGUUCAUGCACAUUAGCAACCUUUUGUGAAAAAUUUCCCACAAGUGAUUCCGAAAAAAUGUAAAUGCCGUUCUCACAUGAACCUCUUAGUAGGAUCGCCCCUGUGAUCGGUUCCUUCACAAGAAAAUAAGAUGGGUGAAACUCAACAUAUACAUUAUUUUGUGAGGUAAAAUGAUGAACAUAAAUCAAUUUUUUUUAAAGAUUUGGAACACAGAGAGUAUCACGCAAGAUAAAGGUUCGAUUGGGUGAGUGUAUAGCUAAAGAACCAACAUGUGAAACAGCCAAACCUGAACCAUCACCCAGAACCACUUCAUCGGUGCCGUCAUAUUCAGAGUGAAUAGAUAAAUUCUGAAGAUCACCAGUGAUGUUGUGGGAGGCAGCGGAAUCAAGGAGCCAUUUUUGCUCUUUCAUGGUAGAAGUUGUUGCACUGUUUGCAGUAAUUUCACUGGGCUUCAGUUGAGGACAAUUUUUGGCUGUAUGGCCCAACUCAUCACAGAAUUGGCAUUUGGGCCUAUAAGGCCGCUGGUUGUUGCUGGGCCGAUUGGAACCAUUGGGACGUCGACCAUCACGAUUUCCACUUCGGGCUGGAGCUUGCCCAGACUGACGCUGAGGCCCAUUCGGCUUGCUAUAGCUGCGUUGUUGACCUCCCGAAGAACCAGACUUCCUGGUUGUAUAGUUUGCAGCGGCCACCAGUUGCUGAGUAGCAGUUUCAAGGCGGCGCAAAUAAUGUUUGUGGCCGACCAGAAGAUCGUGGAGCUCCUCAAAGGCAAGAGACUUUUCGCGAGCUCGGAUUGGUGCUACAAUUUCCCUGAAAUCAGAACCUAAGCCAUUAAGCACAUAGAGGGUUAGGUCAUCAUCAGAAAUGGGGUGGUCAAUAAUGGCAAUUUCAUCUGCCAGAGACUUCACAGCAUGUAGAUAAUCAGAGAUAAGCCGAUUUCCACGCUGUAUUAAGGUGAGUUCCUCUUUUAAUUGCAUAGCCCGAGUUCGUGAUUUGCUAGCAUAGAGGGUGUUCAAUUUUUGCCAAGCCUCAUGGGACGUUUUUGCUGUUGCAAUGAGUGGGGUGAUGGUAGGGGAAGUGGAAGCAAGAAGGGCACUGAGUAUAAGUUUGUCUUGCCGAACCCAAUGAGUUUUGUGUAGGGCAGAAAUAGAGAGAUCACUCGGAGAGGGACAUUGAGAGAUGCCGGUGACAUAAUCAAGCAAAUCAUAUCCUAUGAGUAAGGCUUCAAAUUGAGCACGCCAUUGAGGAAAAGUAGAAGGAGUCAAUUUUUCAUUAAUCUGGGCAGUGAUUUGAGAGCAACAAGAGUGGUUUCAGUGGAGGAAAUGAGGUGGGUGUUGAGAUGAAUUUGAGGUUGUUCGGGUGAGGAAGACAUUGGGGAAAUGGGAGGGAUCGACUCGUUGGAGAAGGGCUGCUCUGAUACCAUAUAGAGAAAUAUACUGCUGGAUUAAAUAAACUAUUUCCUCCUCUGUUAUUCAAUUGAUCUGUACGUAAAUAUAUACAACAUCACAGAGAACUAUUUUAGGAAAUAUUUACAGCAAUUACUAUGACAAAAUAACUAUACACCAAUCUCGGCUAAUAAUCACAUAAAUAGAAACAGAUCAAAGACUUUAUUCAAAUGGCUUGAUUGUAGGCUGAUAUCAUGAAGGUUUGACUUGAUCUUGAUUUUGGCAAUCUUCCUUAAUAAUUAGAAAUGGGUUGAUCCCACUGGGUGGCUCGCUCUCGGACCUCGUCUUCCGAUGAGUUACAGAGCCAAGCGUGGAGGCUGUCGGUGAUAGAGAGGCGGAAAUGGGAAGGAAACCAGGUGGCCUUGAUGAAGAUGGGUUCCGAUUGGUUAGGAAUUUGAAGCUUCAGGCAUGAGUGUCUAGGUGUCGGCUCCAUUGAUCUGGGUUGGGGUUAUCGGCUUCCACUCAAUACAAUGCGUGCAGGGGAAGACUCCAUUGUCAAGGGUUCCCGCCUUCUCAAUAUACCCCAACAGUAAUGGCCUUUCCUUUGCUAAAAUGAUAGGAACGAACACCGCUCGUACCAAAUCCAAAUAUGCCAUUGAGAGUAACCCCAUCCAAAAAGGAGCCAAUCUGGUCCUCACUACAACCAAAUAUAAUCUGUGCACCAGAACCAUUGGUAAGAUACGCAAUUUUGUAAGGAUAAGUAACAUCUGUAGCAGAGCAUGGGUUUCUUGAUUGACAUGAAGCUGUUGUAGGGAACAUUUAUGCCAUAUCCCAUGGGUUUCUUGAUAAACACAAAAUGCCAUAUCCAAAUUCCCUAAUCAUUAAAACGGGCAAGCAUCAUAACAGCAUCGUCCUUCAUAGUGGUUUCCCAUCCAUACCCAAACCACUAGUCAAAAGUGCUCUAAGUUGGGCAAGAUCCAUCAAUAAUAACAAAAGAAAAGGUUCUUAAGUGAUCAGCGACAACUCUGUAUGCCAAGCCAACUUUAUCUGUAUAAUUUGAUCCAGCUUUCCCUGAAUAUGAUCAGGCAUUAGUCGCCUGUUGAAUAGCGUCAAAGACGAGUAAGAGUGCAUCAUUAUCACAAUUACUUAUCUUGCCCUGAAGAAUGGAAGUCAAUCUUUCAAAACCCGUUCCGGCGUUGACAUGUUUAGCAGGCAGAGAUUUAAGAGAACCAUCUCUUUCCCUGUCAAACUGUAUAAACACAAAAGUUCCAUAUCUUAACACGAGGAACGUCAUUGUCGGCCAAUGAUACAACAUCACUAUUAGCAACUCUACCAAAAUGUAUCUCGGUGCAAGACCCUCAAGGACCAGUAUCACUCAUCUUCAUCUCAUCCACUAGGAACCCUGAAUCUGUGGCAGUAGCCAAAGCACCACCCUCUCCCCUCAAACACAAACCAGAACACAAAACCAAUAGUCCAAAACAAAUCCAGGAACAUGAGCCAGAAACAAAAUAUGGAUUGAGAUACCGGAAAUGGAGGAAGAAAUAAAACAAUAUAUAGUGUACCCAUGGCAGAGUAAACAGAGUGAGCAAAGCAUUAAGUGAGAUCCUCUUUCAUAUUGAGAUCCAGGGGUUUUGGCCAGUGGUGCAUCAGGAGAGUUUAAAAUAAAUACCAAAAGGGGAAUGAACCAUAUCCAAAUAAGCAAAAAGUACAGAGGAAAGUAAUACAACAUCACACUUAUACCCGAACAACUAACCAAGGAUCAGAAAAGAAAACAGAGACAACAAGAGAAAAUGUGAGAUAGAAAGAAAACAGAGUGAGUGAGAAUAGUCCAAGAGAUUACCACCAAUGUACUUGGAGAUGGUCUUUCAAAGUUCUUGAGUUGUUCCUCAUCUCGCCUCUUCAACUCUAUCUUUCUCAGAUCCUUUCUCCUUCACUCUCGGCUCAUCUUUUCCUCAAGUUGUCCACAACUCUCCAGCAAACAUCCUUCCCCCAAUUACCUCUCUCUCAUCCUAAAGGCACUCUGGUUCUCUCAGCUUGCUUCUCCAGAAUCUCCCUUCUCUCACAUUCCCUAAGCUAAACUAUCUUCCCUUAAAGCUCUAAUGUCUCUCUCACUUUUCUCUCUAAAGCUCUCUGCUCUGUCACCCAGCUGCCAGCCUCCCUUACUCCACUCAAAAAGGCUCACCCUUAACAGAAAAAGAUCCCUUCAAAAUAUCUCUCAGCCGGCAGAAAAAGCACCCCUCUCCUACGCUCCUCUCAAUAGCCAAAUAUUCUUCUGAUUGGUCCAUCAAUUCCACUAUUUUGAUCCCAUAUUGACUAAUCCGGGAAUGACACGUGGCCAUGCAAGAUGGUGGCACUUGGCCACAGCUAGCUGCAAGAAAGGAAACGUGAGAAGAAUGAUAGCUCCCCAAAAUGGGGGUCUACAAUUAUAUAUAUAUAUACUUGGGGUGAGGAGUAGGGUCUUUGUCUCUCAUUGAGGUUUUUAAAAUUUUCCUUGUCAAUGAUCUUGAUUAUUACUCCUAAUCCCCGUCUCAAUGUUUAUUUAUUUAUUAAUUUGUCAUUUCUCAAUUUCUACUUUAAUUUAGUACUAGAUGUCAUGACAAUACUAGAUGGAGUUGAUAUAGAGUUUGCAAAGAGGUGCAAGAGUGUGCAUCUAGUUCUUGCAUACUUGUGGAAGCUCUAAAAUUUUUGUGAGCCUGGUGCAUUGCCACAACAAGAGGACCCUAAUCCUAGAAAGUUGAGUGAUGCCUGCUAGGAUGAAACUAAAAUGGUUUCUACUCAUGUUUAAGUUUUUAAGGAAGAUAAGUUCCUAAGUCAACAAGAAUUGCAAAUCUAAUUCCCUUUAUAAGGAGCAUAAAGCUAGAAAGAGAGCCUAAAAUAAAUAAUAAUCAUAAUAGAAAAUACUAGCUCAUAAGGAGUUUUGAAAUUAAUAAAUGUUGGCCAACCUACCAUCCUAAUUAAUUGAUCAAUCUAUAAAGACCCUUCGUAAGCUCUUUUACAACCAUAUUUUGUGCCAAAAUGACCUUAUACUAGCUUAUGAAUAAAGAACACAUAUAUCCCUUAAAAACUAUAUCACCAAAAAAUAUGAACUCUAAUGGAGACUUUUAGACCAUAAGAAAAUACUGGUUCCCUUAGAAUUUAAUUUAUUUAAAGUUGACUUAAUAUCCUACUAUAAAGAGGUAAUUACAUUAUAAUAUCCUAUGAUAUUAUAACGAGAUAUAAAGCUUAGGUUUGUAACCUAUUAUCCAGUAUAUGCAAACUCCUUAUGAAUUGGUAUACAUAAUCUAAUGAUGUAGAUGCUAUUAGACUCUAAAUGUUACCUCUACCACCCUUUAGUGUUAAAUCCUCCUAUUAUGUGAUUAAUUAACAUAUUCUGAUUCUUUUAAGAGCAUAUGUCAAAUUCCAGAUAGAGAAUUGCUAUGAUUAUAUAUUUCAUGAUCAUAUGCCUUUAAGAUUACCUAAUGGGAUGCGUUGUCUCAAUCCCAUGAAAUAUCAUAGUGUCUAUCUUGAGGAUAUUUAUUUUCGCUUGCCUUGAUCAACAAUGACCCAAUUCCUAAGUAACAUACAACCACCUUAGGGUCUCACCAUAGGUUAAAAUCAUUGACUUCAACACAAGUUUAAUAUUUUCUGAAGGUUGAGAUUUCAGUAUAGUAGCUUGGUGAAUUCAUGAUUACCUGAUAACAAAUGUCAUGAUUCAUUGUAGGUAAAAAAAUUGAGAGCCUAUUUGACAUUUGUUUUGAAGAAUAGCUUUCUAUUUUUCAAAAAAAAAAAAAAAAAACAUGUUUGAUAACGAGAAAGUUGUUUUCUAUUUUUUGUUCUUAUUAACAAAAAAUAAGGUAUUUAUAAGAGAAUAUUGUUUAGUUGUUUUUAAUUAUUUUUUAAGGGUUGUUUACAAAAAUAAUUAUACAAACAUGUAAAAAGAUUAAAAAUAAGGUACUAGACAUAAAAAUUAUUUUCUAAACAUAUUUAAAAAUAUUAAAAAUAGGUUAAAAAAAUUUUGAGUUCCCAAAUAGAUGUUUGUUCUAUAAAACAUUAAAGAAAAGUUUUCAAAAACUAUUGUUUAGAACUAUUUUAGAAAAUAAUUACCAAAUAGGGUUUGAGUUUUUGUUCUUUUAGGUCUCUCACCAUAAGCUCGUUUGCUUUAUGUAGGGGUCACUUUUUCUUUCAAUUAAGGAAGCUUAUAUAUAUUUAAAAAUAUUUUUUUGAUUUAAUUCUAAAUAAAUCUUAAAACUAAAUAGUCUUUAAUAGUGUUAAGUAUUAUGUUAUUUGUUUUUUUAAUAUUUUAUUUUAUUAAGUAUUAAAAAUUAAAGAAAACAAACAAAAUAUUUAGUUUUUUUAUUUAAUAAAAAAAUUUAAGAAAUAAAUAAUAAAUUAACAACACUAACAAAUAAAUGAAUGAUUUGAAAUUUGAAAGCAAAUUACUUUUAACAAAAAAUUAGAAAAAAAAAACACCACCUCAAUCUACUACUUUAAAGCCAAUGGUGCUAGUUCUAGGCCUAAUCCCUAUUGUUAGAAGGAUAUUAAAUAAUAGAAAAACCAAAAGUUUUUUGAUAUCUAAUCAUAAUUAAAUUUUUAUUAAAGAACUAAUCAUAAGGAAAUGAUAUAAUAUAAAAAAAAAUCUAACAUAAAGUAAAAAUUAGUUCCUAGUCCUUACCCCAACUCUUCUUCCCAUCUAAUGCUAAAUUUCCUCCUACACAAUCCUUACUCAUUUUUACUCAUUUUUAUGGAUAUAAGAUUAUUCAAUAUGAUUAUGGUUUUGACUGUGCAGUGAUAACCAAACGAUGAUAAUUGUUUUACCAACAAUAUAAUCGACUAUCAAUUCAAAGUUUGGUCAACAAUAUUUUAUGAUAAUUUCUCAGAACCAGGCCAAAGACUAGAGAGUGUGAAAUUUAUGUAUUUAAGCAGUUGUUCUAAGACUGGAUAUAUUCAAGCUGUUCUUAUUACAUUACAGCAACCAUUCCUCGCCAAUCUCCUUCCACCCUAGGAGUUUAUUUUAGUACAAUAUAUAUGGGAGGACUUUGUUUAUUUUUGGUAAACGAGGGUCUUUAAUUCCAUGGUCGCUUACACCUUAAAGCUCCUGAAAGGACAUCAGCUCAUUGCACUGAUUAUGCUUCUUCCACACAAUUGCCUCGUAGUCGCCGGACGUGCCGGCGAGAUCGGCUUUGAUAUGGAGUUUGUAAAUGUUUCCUGCCAGGUGCUGAAACCACCCCAUAGACACUUUCUCGAAUUCCAGGUUCCAGUUUUCCUUCUUGUUCUGCUCCUCCACGGCGUAUUCUCCCAACUCCUGGAUGUGCUUCUCUUCCACGUCUUGGACCUUGGUCCAUCUGAUAGCUUGCGUGUGAGCCAUGAGACUUGUAGAACUUGUGGGUUUUGGAUGGGUUUUUGUGUGGUGGUGGUGGUGAUGGUGGGUUGGAUUUAUAGACUGGAAAGAGACAGGGAUGCGAACUGCCUUUCAACUUUCUCGGAAGAAUACGAAUCUAGUUUUGUAUGGAAACUGACCUUCAUAUUAUCAGGUUUAUUUGCAUGGGAUAUAAUAAAAAGGAAAAAAAAAAAAAGAGAGAGAAAAAAGACCUAAAUAAAAAAUAAAAAAAAGCAAGUACAAUUUUUUAGGGGCUUUCUUUUUUUGUUUUCCUUUUCAGAUUAACAUUAACUUCUCUAAUUUAAAACUUGAUAAAAUUUUAGAUAACAAAACUAUUAAAAAAAAAAAAAGGGUUAUUCUCAAGGUCAUAUUUGGUAAUGAUUUUUGAAAACAGUUGUAUAAUAAUUAGAAAAGGAAAACACGUAUGAUAAUUAGAAUACAAAAACAGUUUUUCAUUAUUAAAAAUUGAGAAUAGUAUGUUUUUAAAAAUUAUUUUUAAUUCUUUUUACUUAAUUUUUAAUGACUAAUUAUAUAAAUAGGGAGGAUGAUUAAAAAUAAAGUAUUGUAAAUAAAAAUUAUUUUUAAAAUAUAUUAAAAAACAUAGAAAAAAUGUUUAAAAUAUUUCUAAAUUUUAAGCAAAUUUUUGUUAUACAAAACUUCAAAAAGACAUUUUUCAAACAUAACCAAAGUUUUUAUUUUCUAAAAAAUAAAAUUACAAUUAUUUCUUAACAUAUAUAUAUAUAUAUAUAUUGACAUGUACAAUAGCCACGUAGUGCGUCUCAGAGGAGAACGAGCAUUUGGUCCAGGAUAGGAGUGGCGGGCUUCAAAAUAUUCUAUUACAUGAAGGAAUAGAUAGAAAAAUUGUACGUUUCUAAUUUUUGACUGAAUUUCAUAUUCUUGUUUGGUGAUUGAUGUUGGACCAUAGAAUCCAUCAUACAUUUUUGACUUUAUCUUUUUCUAGUUGCUGCAGAAUAAGAGAAUGAAUGAACAAUUCUAAGCCCUAUCACAAAAGAAUUAUUUUUUUCCAAUCUUAUUACAUCUUUAUGUUUUUUUAUUGUUAAUAAUGUACGAAAUAGAAUUAACUGUCUAUUUAUAUGCUCCUUCCCCACAAGCGAUGAAGGAAAAUGGAAUUAAUUCUUGAAGGAUGAUUGUUGUAGCAAUUGGAGUUAAUUUUGAGGAAGAGAGAAUAUAUAUGGGAAAGAAAAAUAAUUAGGGAAGCAAAGAAGAUUGUUACAAGGGAAUGAUAAAUAAUUUAUAAUUUGAUAAGUUGUAAAGAAAAAACGACAAAGGAAUUGAAAGGUGGAGAGAAUUGUAUUCUCUUAUAUAUUUUGAGAUAUAUUAUUCAUAUGUGGACAAUGUCUAUGCCAUCUCCACUUCUAAAUUUAUUCCCCAUCUCUACCUCAUUUCUUAUCUUAGAUUGGAUGGGAACUGAGAAUCUUUAUUAGGAAAACAAAUGCCUCAUCUAGAUUGAGAAUCUUGUUUAAUUGGUUUUUAAAAUUUCAUAAUUUUAGUUUUAAAAAAGUUUAAUAAAAAAUUAUAUAUAAACAAGUAUAUUUAAUAUAAAUUUUUUAUAAUACAAUUUUUUUUUUUGAGAAAAAAAGUGUAUAUUAUAUAUAUAUAUAUGUAAUGGUAUAUUAGGACUUGGGAUGGGAUGGUUUUGGGGUGAGGAAUAGGGUCUUUGUCCCUCAUUGAGGUUUUUAAAUUUUUCAUUGUCAUUGAUUUGAUUAUUACUCCUUAUCCUUGUACCAAUGUUUUUUUUUUUUUUUUUGGUAGUUUUUUUUCAUCCCUCAAUUUAUACUUUAAUUUAGUACUAGAUCUCAUAAAAAUACUAGAUGGAGUUGAUAUAGAGUUUUCAAAGAUUGGCAACAGUGUACAUCUAGUUCUUGCAUACUUGUGGAAGCUCUAAAAUUUUUGUGAGCCUGGUGUAAAGCCACAACAGAAGGAGCCUAAUCCUAGGAAGUUGAGUGAUGCUUGCUAGUAUGACACUAAAAUAGUUUCUACUUAUGUUUAAGUUUUUCAAGGAAGAUAAGCUCCUAAGUCAACAAGAAUUGUAAAUCUAAUUCCCUUUAAGGAGCAUAAAGCUAGAAAUAGACCCUUAAAUAAAUCAAAAAUGAAAAAAAAAACAUAGGGUCAUAAGGAGUGUUGAAACUAAUAAAUGUUGGCCAGCCUAUCGUCUACACUAGAACAAAUGGAGAUAUUUGAAAAAAAAAAUAUCUUUGGCGGAUUAAGAAUUCCUAAAAAUAAGAGACAUAUAUAGGACUAUAAAGAAAGCUAAUCUAUUAUUAAUGUCAUCGAUAUAUAUGUACCUAUUUUUGCCAAUACUCAUUGAACAUAUACAUGAUCCCAUGCAUAUAUAGUUUGUUGCAUCAACCCACUUCUUUAGGACCUUGUCGGUGAAUACUUUACCAUCCGAAUUGUUGUAUUAAAUCAUGCAUCCAUAUCCUUGGUAUGAGACAUUAAGAGAUAUUUAUUGUAAAGAACUCUUGUUCCAUUUUCAACAAAGAAACCAUAGGUGUCUAGAAUUUUUGUAUCAAAAUUUUUACAAUCCCCCUUGGUCAAACAAGCAACAUCAAGAAAUUUCAAUAUAUCCUUUUACCUAUAACUUAGCCCAUUGUAACUUAUUUUAAGUACACCUAAAAUUCUCUUGCUUGCUAAUGGACAUUUCCAUUGAAGAUAUGUGUUGCUAAAUAACAAGAACCCAAAACUUUAAUAGCUAAAGGAAGACCUUUACAAUCAUAUUAUCACACAAUUUAAAAGGGUUAAGAAAUUAUAAUCAUAACAUGCUUUUUCAACGGCAUAUCAGCUCAAGAGGACAUGAGCAUCAUCCUUACUCAAUGCCACUAGCUCAAAUAAUUCAACCAUGCAUAAUAAACAAAUGUUUAUGUCUCAUUGUUAUAAUGAUUUUACUUCUUUUACCAAACCAAUCAUGUCUUCCAACUAAAGGUUCUCAUUGUUUUAGAUCAUCCACAUAAUCCAAAACGGUAAAAACCCAUUUACAAUGAAGCAUGUGGUGACCCACCCUCGUAGGUGUCAUCCAAGCAAAAUAGUGUCUCCUCUUUACUCUAAAAACUUAGUGGAGAUACUAUCCUACAAAGAGAAAUUUAACUCAUAAUUGGAUAUAAUGUGUUAGAGAAGUAUAAUGAAGUAUUUUUAAGGAAACAACAUAUUCAUAACCAUUUUUAAGAUACAAAAUUUUGAGUGCAUAAGAGCCAACCUUAGCAUCCAAUUUUCAAAUCCUGAACAUAUGUAAGGAAAUGCCUACAUGGCAACAGUCUACACUAAAAAGAGGAAAAAAGAAAAGGGCAACAAUGGAUACAUGUCUUGCUGGCCACUUGUUGAACUUGCUCAAUAUGUGAUUCUACUAGAUCCUCGUCUGAAAAAAUUAGGGAAUUUCAUCAUCCAAGUAACACUCAACGUAAAUAAUAUAUAGUAUAACAAUUAGAUAAACAUACAACGUUAGACAACCCGAUGUAUAAUCAAUUAAACGCAUGUAUCAUAUAUGCAUCCAACUUUCAAUACAUUCAACUUUCAAUACAUUCCAAGGCUAUGGUGCCACUCAACUUUCAAUACAUUCCAAGGUUAUGCAAAUAUAACGACUAGCACCGUGGCCCUUCAUCCAUCGACAUAUAUCAUAUAUGCAUCCACAAAUGACAUAUAUCUUACAUAACAUGGCAUCAUAUGGACACAGUGCCCCUACAUCUCCCGACACAUUUCUCAUACAAAUUGCUUUCCCCUUCAUGUCUUAGCAUAAAAGAUCACAAGGUUAAUCAACUACGAUGUGCCCCUUUAUCUCUAUGACACAAUAAUGGUCCAAGGUACAUAACAAUCACAAAAAUAAUAAUAAUGUAAAGCACAAUAAUAAUACAAAUGAUAGUACAAAUGAUUUUUUAGUAAAUAGUAAAUACUAGCUAAGUUCCCAAGAAAGAUUGGAAGGAUCACAAUGGUCAUGCUUAAAAUCCAAGUUCCUUAGAACUUUCCUAAGUUGUACACAUCCAUUCAUGAUCACCAAACCAUCUUAACAAUUAACAAACAUAUAUAUCAAGGAUACAUGAAGCACAUAACCAUCAUUAAUAUAGCACAUAGACCAACACAUUUUUAAAUCAUAUGUCAUGAUAUUUGUGUUAAAACACUCCUCGAUCAUAGAUGCAUGCUCUCUCAACAUUUAAGGAUAGUAGAUCUUCAUAAUGAAAGUAAUAACAAGAAAAAAAACUGUAGAUAUAAGGUUUUAAAUAUUUUACCUUUGAUCUGGAUGUUCUCAUAUCAAUUACAGUUGAAGAAAAUGAUGAUGCAUAUCUUGAAAAGCUCACGAUCUUUCACUCAAUAGCCCUUUCUUAGAUCUUAGCGUUUGAGAAUGGUGGAAUCCUAACUUGGGGGUGGAAACUAGGGCUGGAAAACAAAAUGAUUAGAUUUCAAGCCUUAAUCCCUAAGGUGUUUUAUAUAGACUUCCUUAUAAGCUUAAGUGACUUUAGUUUAUCUUAGGUUUGGGUCAUUUAACCCUAACCCAUUGGAUCCUAAUUAAUUGAUCAAUCCAAAAAGACCUUUCGCAAGCUCUUGUACAAUCUUGUGUUUUUUCCAAAAUGCCAUUAAGCACACUUAAGAAUAAAGAAUACAUAUAUCCCUUAAAAACUAUACCACCAAGGAAUAUGAGCUCCAAUGGAGACCAUUAGGACCAUAAGAAAAUACUGACUCCCUUAGAAUCUAAUUCUAAAGUUGACUCAAUAUUCCACAAUGGAGAUGUAACUACACUACACUAUUUUAUGAUAUUAUAAUGAGAUAUAAAGCUCGAGUUUGUGACCUACUAUCCACUAUAUGCAAACUCCCUAUGAACUAAUGUAUAUAAUCUAAUAAUGUAGAUGCUACUAAACUCUAAAUGUUACCUCUACCAUCCUUUAGUCUUAAAUCUUCCUAUUAUGUAAUCAACUAACAUAUUCUAACUUUCUAAGAGAAUAUGUCAAAUUCCACUUAGGGAAUUAUUACUACAUAUUUCAUGAUUAUAUGUCUUUAGGAUUACCUAAGGGGAUGCAUUAUUUUAAUCCCAUGAAAUAUCAUGAUGUUUAUCUUGUUAAUAGCUAUUUCCACCUAUCUUAAUCAACAUUGACUCAAUCCCUAGGAAAUAUACAACCACCAUAGGGUCUCACCCAUAGGUCAAAGUCAUUGACAUCAACACAAGUUCAAUAUUCUCUCAAGGUUGAGAUCUCAUGCAAUAUAGUAGCUUGGUGAAUUCAUGACUACCUGAUAGAAUGUCAUGAUUCAUCGUAGGUAGAAAAUUGAGAAUGGAAGAAAAGUUAGAAAAUUGAGGGCUUGUUUGGAAACUAUUUUCAAGAAUAUUUAUAGACUUCGGAAAGAAAGAAGGAUGGGAUUGCCUUUCGACUUUCUUGGAACUUCCAAGAAUAAGAAUUUUUUUUUGUCUGAAAACUGACCUUCAUAUUAUGAGGUUUAUUUGUAGAGAUAAUAAAAAAGAAAAAAAAAAAAAGAAAAUGAAACUAAAAAUGGAAAUACAAUUUUUAGUAUUUUUAUUUUUAAAUUAAAAAUGAUUUUUCUAAUGUCAAACUUGAUAGUAAAAAUUACAAUAAUAAAAGUAUUAAAAAAAAUAUUCUCCAAUAAGUUUUAAAAUGAAAGGUCAAAGAGUCCAGGAAUACAUAAAUAAAUUUUUUAUUUUCUAAAAUAAAAUUACAAUUAUCAAAUCUAUUUUAAAAAGAGUUAAUAUAUUUUAGUUUUUAAAAAGAAUAUAUAUAUAUAUAUAUAUAUAUACACACACUUCACCUCAUCAUUGACACAAUAGCCAUGCAAUGCGCCUUUAAGAAGUAUGAGCAUAUGGUCCAGGAUGGGAGCGGGUCAGUUUCAAAAUAUUCUAGGAAUGGAUGGAAGAGUUGUCUUUUUUCCAAUUUUUGAUUGAUUUUUAUUUUGUUUUUUGGUGAUUGAUGUAGGAUAAUGGAAUCCAUUAUACAUUUUUAAGUUUUUUUUUUUUUUUUGUUAAUGUAGGAUAAGAGAAUCAAUGAACCAUUCUAAUUCUUAUCACUAAUGAAAUAGAAGAGAAGAAUUGUCUUUUUUCCAAUCUUACAGGAUUUUUAUUCUUUUUCUCUUGUAAAUAAUGUACUACAAUUGAAUCAAUUGCCUAUUUAUGUGCUUUUUUUUUAAUAAUUAAUGUGGAAAAAUGGAAUUAAUUCUCGGAAGAUAAUUGAUGUAAGAGGUAGAAUUAAUUAUGAGGAAGAAAGAAUAUGGGUAAAAACACGAUACAAUAAGGAAGAAAUAGGGUUGUAACUCUUGGGUGGAUUGGAAAGGUUAAAAGGCUACUAUGCCUAACUUGAUAUCAAAAUGCCUAACUUAUGCCAAACCUAACCUAAGGUUGGGUAAUUAAUUACCAGCCCAUGUCAAAUUUAUGCACAAUUCAAGUUCUUACACGUUAAAAUGGGUUCUUGUAGGUUAUUAAGUAGAAUAAUUAUUUUAAAAUGUAUAUCGAAUAAACCAUUAGAGGUUAUAGUACACUACCUCUUAAUUCAAGGGAUGACUAGUCUUGGCCAUUGGGAUGAGUUUCUCAUUAUGAAUGCACUACUGUGUAUGGUUACACAUUAGAAAGAACCUAUGGUGAAUUACGAUGUAAGGUUAUUGAGUAGUCAUAACUUCACCAAACUACUACGUUGUAUUAUCUCUUAACCUUGAUAAAAUAUUGAAUUUGUUUCAAAGUUAACAAUGACUUUGAUUUACGAGUGGGAUCCUAAAGUGAUCACAUAUUCCUUAUAGAUCAGGUAACAAUUAAUGAAAGUUGAUAGAAAUAGAUAUUCUCAAUAGAGAUACCAUGAUAUCUUAUAGAAUUGAGAUAGAGUGUCCUCUUGAGUAAUCCUAAGGAGAUGUGUUCAUGUAAACUAUGGUCAUAAUAGUUAUUUAACUAGAACUUAACAUAAACUCUUUGUAAGGUAAGAUAUGUCAAUUUAUCACAUAAUAUAAGGAUCUCCAACUUAAGGAUAGUAGAGUUAGUCUUAAAAGGUUGAUAAUUUUCUCUUUGUUAGACUAUAGACACUAGUUCAUAGGGAGAUUGAGUGCAAUGGAUAGCAAGUCACAGACUUAAGCACUUUUUGUCUCAUUAUCAUUUACAUAGGGUACUAGAGUGCAAUUGAUUCUCUAUAGUGGGAUGUUGAAUCAACUUCAAAAUAGGAUUAUGAAGGAGAAAGUGCUAUCUUAUAGGUCCUAGUGGUCCCCACUCAAGCUUUGAUAUCAAUUGUUGACAUUUUAGAUUUAAAUAACAGAAAUAAUGUCAAUUUUUUUUAAAAAAAUUGAUUUUUAGGGUUAAAAUACUGAUUUUUAGGUUUGAAUGUUCUCAAGCCUUAAAUUCAAGUGUUGAAGAAUUAAAUCAAUGUUCUCGAAAGUCUCGUAGACCCAUGAUUUUCAACCCAAUGAUUCAACUAUAUUCCUUAGCACACAAAUAAUAGGUAGUUCAAGAGGGUAGAGGGUAAGAUUCUUUUCUCUUUGGAUAGUGAAAGACAAAAGUGAUGGCUAACUUAUGCAUUUUCAAAUUAUUUUAUCUUUACAUGAAAAGUUAAAAUAAAUUAAAUGAGUUUGAAGAAGUAUUUUAUGAUUUUAAAUCUAUUUUUUAUUUUUCUUUUAUUUUUCUCUCUAUUUUUUUUUCUCAUAUAUUCUCUCUAAAUUUUUGGGAAACCAAACAUAAUCCAAGAAAAAGAAGGAAAAACAAAAGUAAUAGCACUUACUGAUUAUGAAGGUGCCAUCCAGAUAGAUUGAUUGCUUCUUUCAAGGCUGCUCUCCACUUCUCUAUCUUCUCUCUAUUCUCCUUGCUCACAUCUUUUUCAUACUCCAUAAAUGCUUUCCCAUAACUCCCCGUCUGGUUUCUCACUUCGGUUGGAUCCACAUGGUAGAAAACUUGGAGAGCCAUUCGCCUCAUUGUUGCCACACUCAAUAAUCUUUAUAACUUCAUCCGAACACCAUCUAGAAUCAGCAUAAUUUUCGAGAAAAUAACAAUGGAAAUCCUUGACUGCUCGAUAGCUUUCAAGAGUCCUGGUGCUCCUCUAUCAAGUUCUUCAUCAUCUCUAAAGGUGUGAAUUCCAUUUGCAACCAAAGCUGUGUAUAGAUGAUCCAUAAAAUUUUUGCGGGUGUCUUUCCCUCUGAAACUCAAGAAAACAUCAUGACUCCAGGGAGGGAUAGAAGAAGAGGGUGCUUGAGUGCUGCUUGAAGCCAUAAAUGAUAACUGCUGAAACUACCAUGGACUGGAGAUUUCUGCACUGAUUCUACAGGGUAUGAGACUUAGUAUUUAAGUUGUUUCAUUAGGGAGAAAAUAUGGGAGGGUGAAGUAAGCAAGAAAUGCAGCACCUCAAAGUCAACAAAUUAGCUUUAUCUUGGAGAUCAAUCCCAGGAAGGGGGUACCUACCAGUCAACAACCUUUAUUUGUUUGUUUGUUUUUGUCUUUUUUUUUUUUUAUAAAAAAAAUGGAUAUCAAUCCCAAAGAUUGUUGUCCUUUGGGAUAAGAAUGGGAGAAAAAAAUUCUUAUUCAUUGGGAUAAGAAUAGAAGACGAAAAUUCCUAUUCUUCUCUUCCUUUCCACAUCUUUUUCAGUAACUAAGAUAUGAGAUUAAUAAAUAAUUAAAUCUAGAGGUUAAAGAAGUUUAAUUAAUCAGUUUCUCUUUACAUAUUUAACAAAUUAUUAAAAUGACACUUUAAUAACAUUUUUAUGAAUUGUUAAUAUAUGAAGAAUAGUAGUUAAUUAUUUAUAUACAUUUUGGUUAUGUUUGGUUCUGAACAAUACUAGAAAAAGAAAAAAUAUUAAUUAAGGAAAAUAAUUUUUUUUCUAUUUGGUUAUCCCAUGUAAAAUACGAGAAAAAUAUUAAAUAUAGUUAAAAUUAAUUUUAAAACUUAUAUAUUUUCAAAUCUAGCUUUAUAUUCAAGAGUUAAAAUAAUAAAAAUAAUUUAUUAACUUUAAAUUUAUUUUUUAUUUUUCUUAAAUUUUUUCUCUCUACUUUCUUUCUUUUAUAUUUUUCUUAAAUUUUUUGAUAACCAAAUACAACUUGUAAGUAUUAGGGUUGCAACUUGGGCGGAUUGGUUGGGAUUGAUGACUAACCAAAUCCAACCUGAAUUAAGAAACAAUCAACCUAAACUCAUUUUUCUAAACUCGAGUUAAAUUCGGGUUAAUCGAAUUAGACUUCAACUGAUCAGGUUACAUUUGACUUUGUCGGGUUUAUUGGAUUGUAUAAUUCAAAAUUUUAAAUUUUUUAAAAUAUAAUUAUACUAAAAUUUAAAUAAUAAAUAACACAAAAGUUGAAGAUAAUAAUAAAAAAAAUGAAAAUAAACUUCUAUAUCUUAAAAAAAAAAAGUAUAAGAUAUAAAAGUAAAAUAAACUUAUUUGUCUUUUUUGAAAAAAUAAAAAAUAUAUAAUAUAAUUAUAAUUUGAUAUUUUUAAAAAUCUAAAAAGAAAAUGAAUAUUAUCACAUAAAAUAAUAAACAUUAUAAAUACUAUACAAAUAUUAAAUCGCAUUUUGUUUAGACUAAGGUUAUUCAAACAUUGACCCAAGUCUAAUCCAAAUUAAGUUCAGGUUUGAGAAAACUUCACCCAAAUACAACCCGAUUAAUAAAAUUGUUUACCCAAGCCCAUCCAAACAUUGGGUUGGGUUCGAUUAGAUUGGGCCAAUCUGUCCAAGUUACACCCUGGUAAGUACAAAAAAAUAAAAAUAAAUAAAAGAUAAAAUACAUGGUAUAAGGUAUGAUUACAAUUUCCCUUUUAAUAUAUCCCAUGUUUGUGAGAUUAGUAUUUUUUUUUUCUUAUUACUUAAUGGAUGGAGCCGGAGAGUGGACUUUUGGAUAAUGAUCAAGAUUGGAUUUGAUAGUAUUUAUGUGGGUGAUGGGGUGGUUAUGAGGUGAUUUUCAUCCCUUAAUAAAGUUGUGACAGAAAAUAUGGUAGGUGGUUAUAAUUCAUUUUAUAAUAAGUUCCGUAGAGCAGCGCUUCUAGUCCAAUAAUCUUCUCCGAAGGCGUGUCUUCCACCUAGUGAAGAUGACAGGAGAUGCCUUGCUCCACCACCUCUAAUCCAAGGACAGUGAAAAGUGAAGAGUGGCUUCAUUCUUUUAUCCUUCCAGUGGACACUCAAAUCAACUUUUUCUAAGCUAUAGAAAUCGGGUUAGAACUUGGAAUAGAAAUGCAUGAAAACUUCACAAAUAUAUAAAGAAUUUAAGCUUCAAAUACAGAUCAUUAACCUCAAUUUUCAAGGCCACCAAACAGCCCCAAAGUAGAGUUCAUGAGAUUGAAACUUUCAAUAACAAGUUGUAACGAAUUUUCCAUCAUUUUUUAUAUUAAAUGUCGAAAUUUAGAAAUCCAUACUUUCCCCUUUUCCCUUAUCUUUGCCUACACUUUCCUUUUUGUCAUUCAUUUUUGGGUUAUCAGUAGGUGGAAAUUUAAAAAUUUUUAAUAAUCAUUUAAUGACGACGUCUUUACCUCACUUUCCUCUAUUUGUUGGGCAACCAAACAAACCAAACUUGGAGUUGACAGUUGGGGUUAUACCUUUCAAAGGCCUUUGUUUUGGAAAAAUAUAAUAAAAAUAUUAAAAAGAUCAUCUCCUUCUUCCUUUAAAUUUUCAUAUUUUUCAAAGCAAUUAGAUGGAGGAUAGGUUCUUCUUAGUCUUCCUAUGAAAGCACCUAUAAAUGAGAUAUUAUUGUGAGUCAACAACUGGGAUUAUAUCUUGAAGCAAUUACUGUUUAUUGUUACAUAGUGAUCACGUGCUUCACCAAACUAGGUCAAUUCUUCUUAGUGAACUUGCCAAACACUUGAAUGUUCUCAAACCUUAAAUUCAAGUGUUGAAGAAUUAAAUCAAUGUUCUCGAAAGUCUCGUAGACCCAUGAUCUUCAACCCAAUGAUUCAACUUUAUUCCUUAGCCACAAACAAUAGGUAGUUCAAGAGGGUAGAGGGUAAGAUUCUUUUCUCUUUGGAUAGUGAAAGACAAAAGUGAUGGAUAACUUAUGCAUUUUCAAAUUAUUUUAUCUUUACAUGAAAAGUUAAAAUAAAUUAAAUGAGUUUGAAGAAGUAUUUUAUGAUUUUAAAUUUAUGUUUUAUUUUCCUUUUAUUUUUCUCUCUAUUUUUUUGUUCUCAUAUAUUCUCUCUAAAUUUUUGGGAAACCAAACAUAAUCCAAGAAAAAGAAGGAAAAACAAAAGUAAUAGCACUUACUGAUCAUGAAGGUGCCAUCCAGAUAGAUUGAUUGCUUCUUUCAAGGCUGCUCUCCACCUCUCUACCUUCUCUCUAUUCUCCUUGCUCACAUCUUUUUCGUACUCCAUAAAUGCUUUCCCAUAACUCCCUGUCUGGUUUCUCACUUCGGUUGGAUCCACAUGGUAGAAAACUUGGAGAGCCAUUCACCUAAUUGUUGCCACACACUCAAUAAUCUUUAUAACUUCAUCCGAACACCAUCUAGAAUCAGCAUAAUUUUCCGAGAAAAUAACAAUGGAAAUCCUUGACUGCUCGAUAGCUUUCAAGAGUCCUGGUGCUCCUCUAUCAAGUUCUUCAUCAUCUCUAAAGGUGUGAAUUCCAUUUGCAACCAAAGCUAUGUAUAGAUGAUCCAUAAAAUUUUUGCGGGUGUCUUUCCCUCUGAAACUCAAGAAAACAUCAUGACUCCAAGGAGGGACAGAAGAAGAGGGUGCUUGAGUGCUGCUUGAAGCCAUAAAUGAUAACUGCUGAAACUACCAUGGACUGGAGAUUUCUGCACUGAUUCUACAGGGUAUGAGACUUAGUAUUUAAGUUGUUUCAUUAGGGAGAAAAUAUGGGAGGGUGAAGUAAGCAAGAAAUGCAGCACCUCAAAGUCAACAAAUUAGCUUUAUCUUGGAGAUCAAUCCCAGGAAGGGGGUACCUACCAGUCAACAACCUUUAUUUGUUUGUUUGUUUUUGUCUUUUUUUUUUUUAUAAAAAAAAUGGAUAUCAAUCCCAAAGAUUGUUGUCCUUUGGGAUAAGAAUGGGAGAAAAAAAUUCUUAUUCAUUGGGAUAAGAAUAGAAGACGAAAAUUCCUAUUCUUCUCUUCCUUUCCACAUCUUUUUCAGUAACUAAGAUAUGAGAUUAAUAAAUAAUUAAAUCUAGAGGUUAAAGAAGUUUAAUUAAUCAGUUUCUCUUUACAUAUUUAACAAAUUAUUAAAAUGACACUUUAAUAACAUUUUUAUGAAUUGUUAAUAUAUGAAGAAUAGUAGUUAAUUAUUUAUAUAUAUUUUGGUUAUGUUUGGUUCUGAACAAUACUAGAAAAAGAAAAAAUAUUAAUUAAGGAAAAUAAUUUUUUUUCUAUUUGGUUAUCCCAUGUAAAAUACGAGAAAAAUAUUAAAUAUAGUUAAAAUUAAUUUUAAAACUUAUAUAUUUUCAAAUCUAGCUUUAUAUUCAAGAGUUAAAAUAAUAAAAAUAAUUUAUUAACUUUAAAUUUAUUUUUUAUUUUUCUUAAAUUUUUUCUCUCUACUUUCUUUCUUUUAUAUUUUUCUUAAAUUUUUUGAUAACCAAAUACAACUUGUAAGUAUUAGGGUUGCAACUUGGGCGGAUUGGUUGGGAUUGAUGACUAACCAAAUCCAACUUGAAUUAAGAAACAAUCAACCCAAACUCAUUUUUCUAAACUCGAGUUAAAUUCGGGUUAAUCGAAUUAGACUUCAACUGAUCAGGUUACAUUUGACUUUGUCGGGUUUAUUGGAUUGUAUAAUUCAAAAUUUUAAAUUUUUUAAAAUAUAAUUAUACUAAAAUUUAAAUAAUAAAUAACACAAAAGUUGAAGAUAAUAAUAAAAAAAAUGAAAAUAAACUUCUAUAUCUUAAAAAAAAAAAAGUAUAAGAUAUAAAAGUAAAAUAAAUUUAUUUGUCUUUUUUGAAAAAAUAAAAAAUAUAUAAUAUAAUUAUAAUUUGAUAUUUUUAAAAAUCUAAAAAGAAAAUAAAUAUUAUCAUAUAAAAUAAUAAACAUUAUAAAUACUAUACAAAUAUUAAAUCGCAUUUUGUUUAGACUAAGGUUAUUUAAACAUUGACCAACGUCUAAUCCAAAUUAAGUUCAGGUUUGAGAAAACUUCACCCAAAUACAACCCGAUUAAUAAAAUUGUUUACCCAAGCCCAUCCAAACAUUGGGUUGGGUUCGAUUAGAUUGGGCCAAUCUAUCCAAGUUACACCCUGGUAAGUACAAAAAAAUAAAAAUAAAUAAAAGAUAAAAUACAUGGUAUAAGGUAUGAUUACAAUUUCCCUUUUAAUAUAUCCCAUGUUUGUGAGAUUAGUAUUUUUUUUUUUUCUUAUUACUUAAUGGAGGGAGCCGGAGAGUGGACUUUUGGAUAAUGAUCAAGAUUGGAUUUGAUAGUAUUUAUGUGGGUGAUGGGGUGGUUAUGAGGUGAUUUUCAUCCCUUAAUAAAGUUGUGACAGAAAAUAUGGUAGGUGGUUAUAAUUCAUUUUAUAAUAAGUUCCGUAGAGCAGCGCUUCUAGUCCAAUAAUCUUCUCCGAAGGCGUGUCUUCCACCUAGUGAAGAUGACAGGAGAUGCCUUGCUCCACCACCUCUAAUCCAAGGACAGUGAAAAGUGAAGAGUGGCUUCAUUCUUUUAUCCUUCCAGUGGACACUCAAAUCAACUUUUUCUAAGCUAUAGAAAUCGGGUUAGAAAUUGGAAUAGAAAUGCAUGAAAACUUCACAAAUAUAUAAAGAAUUUAAGCUUCAAAUACAGAUCAUUAACCUCAAUUUUCAAGGCCACCAAACAGCCCCAAAGUAGAGUUCAUGAGAUUGAAACUUUCAAUAACAAGUUGUAACGAAUUUUCCAUCAUUUUUUAUAUUAAAUGUCGAAAUUUAGAAAUCCAUACUUUCCCCUUUUCCCAUAUCUUUGCCUACACUUUCCUUUUUGUCAUUCAUUUUUGGGUUAUCAGUAGGUGGAAAUUUAAAAUUUUUUAAUAAUCAUUUAAUGACGACGUCUUUACCUCACUUUCCUCUAUUUGUUGGGCAACCAAACAAACCAAACUUGGAGUUGACAGUUGGGGUUAUACCUUUCAAAGGCCUUUGGUUUGGAAAAAUAUAAUAAAAAUAUUAAAAAGAUCAUCUCCUUCUUCCUUUAAAUUUUCAUAUUUUUCAAAGCAAUUAGAUGGAGGAUAGGUUCUUCUUAGUCUUCCUAUGAAAGCACCUAUAAAUGAGAUAUUAUUGUGAGUCAACAACUGGGAUUAUAUCUUGAAGCAAUUACNNNNNNNNNNNNNNNNNNNNNNNNNNNNNNNNNNNNNNNNNNNNNNNNNNNNNNNNNNNNNNNNNNNNNNNNNNNNNNNNNNNNNNNNNNNNNNNNNNNNCAUGAAGGUGCCAUCCAGAUAGAUAGAUUGCAUCUUUCAAGGCUGCUCUCCACCUCUCUACCUUCUCUCUAUUCUCCUUGCUCACAUCUUUUUCGUACUCCAUAAAUGCUUUCCCAUAACUCCCUGUCUGGUUUCUCACUUCGGUUGGAUCCACAUGGUAGAAAACUUGGAGAGCCAUUCACCUAAUUGUUGCCACACACUCAAUAAUCUUUAUAACUUCAUCCGAACACCAUCUAGAAUCAGCAUAAUUUUCCGAGAAAAUAACAAUGGAAAUCCUUGACUGCUCGAUAGCUUUCAAGAGUCCUGGUGCUCCUCUAUCAAGUUCUUCAUCAUCUCUAAAGGUGUGAAUUCCAUUUGCAACCAAAGCUAUGUAUAGAUGAUCCAUAAAAUUUUUGCGGGUGUCUUUCCCUCUGAAACUCAAGAAAACAUCAUGACUCCAAGGAGGGAUAGAAGAAGAGGGUGCUUGAGUGCUGCUUGAAGCCAUAAAUGAUAACUGCUGAAACUACCAUGGACUGGAGAUUUCUGCACUGAUUCUACAAGGUAUGAGACUUAGGUGGUGUUUGUUUUUUGGCUGAAUAGAAAAAGUCAAAAUAUUUGGCUUUUUCUAUUCAAUUAAAAGUAACUCAUUGACAUCAACCAAUAUAAUUAAAUUAAACUUAUUGAUAACAAGUUCACUUUAAUUAUGUUGGUUAAUAUUAACAAGGUGCUUUUAACUGAAUAAAAAAAGUAAAAUAUUUUGGCUUUUUUUAUUCAGCCAAAAAACAAACACUAGCUUAGUAUUUAAGUUGUUUUAUUAGGGAGAAAAUAUGGGAGGGUGAAGUAAGCAAGAAAUGCAACACCUCAAAGUCAACAAAUUAGCUUUAUCUUGGAGAUCAAUCCUAGGAAGGGAGUACCUACCAGCCAACAACCUUUAUUUGUUUGUUUGUUUUUGUUUUGUUUCUUUUUUUUAAAAAAAAAUGGAUAUCAAUCCCAAAUAUUGUUAUCCUUUGGGAUAAAAAUGGGAGAAAAAAAUUCUUAUUCAUUGGGAUAAGAAUAGAAGAAGAAAAUUCCCAUUCUUCUCUUCCUUUCCACAUCUUUUUCAGUAACUAAGAUAUGAGAUUAAUAAAUAAUUAAAUCUAGAGGUUAAAGAAGUUUAAUUAAUCAGUUUCUCUUUACAUAUUUAACAAAUUAUUAAAAUGACACUUUAAUAACAUUUUUAUGAAUUGUUAAUAUAUGAAGAAUAGUAGUUAAUUAUUUAUAUACAUUUUAGUUAUGUUUGGUUAUGAAAAAUACUAGAAAAAGAAAAAAUAUUAAUUAAGGAAAAUGAUUUUUUUUCUAUUUGGUUAUCCCAUGUAAAAUACGGAAAAAAAUAAAAUAAAUAUAGUUAAAAAUAUUAAUUUAAAAACUUAUAUAUUUUCAAAUCUUUAUAUUCAAGAGUUAAAAUAAUAAAAAUAAUUUAUUAACUUUAAAUUUAUUUUUUAUUUUUCUUAAAUUUUUUCUCUCUACUUUUUUUCCUUUACAUUUUUCUUGAAUUUUUUGAUAACCAAAUACAACUUGUAAGUAUUAGGGUUGCAACUUGGGAGGGUUGGUUGGAUUGAUGACUAACCCAAACUCAAUCUGAAUUAAGAAACAAUCAACCCAACUCGACUUCUAACCCGGGGUACUGUCAAACUCAAUCUGAAUUAAGAAAGGGGUACUCAACCCAAUCUCAUUUUUCUAAAUUCGGGUUAAAUUCAGGUUGGUCAAAUUAGAUUUGGGUUGAUCAAGUUACACUUGACUUAGUCGGGUUGAUUGAGUUAUAUAAUUCAAAAAAUUUAAUUUUUUUUAUAUAUAUCUAUACUAAACUUUAAAUAAUAAAUAACACAAAAGUUCAAGAUAAUAAUAAAAAAAUGAAAAUAAACUUCUAUAUCUUUUUUUUUUUUAAAGUGUAAGAUAUAAAAGUAAAAUAAUAUAUAUAUAUAUAUAUAUAUAUAUAUAUAUAUAUAUAUAUAUAAUAUAAUUAUAAUUUGAUAUUUUUUAAAAUCUAAAAAUAAAUAAAUAUUAUCAUAUAAAAUAAUAAACUUUAUAAAUAUUAUACAAAUAUUAAAUCGCAUUUAGGUUAGGCUUAGGUUAUUCAAACAUUGACUCAAGCCUAAUCCAAAUUAAGCUCGUUGAGAAAACUUCACCCAAGCUCAAGCCGAGUAAUGAAAAUGUUUACCCAAGGUCGUCCAAACAUUGGGUUGAGUUCGGUUAGAUUGAGUCAACCUGUCCAAGUUACACCUUAGUAAGUAAAAAAAACUAAAAAAUAAAAGAUAAAAUACAUGGUAUGAGGUAUGAUUACAAUUUCCCUUUUAAUAUAUCCCAUGUUUGUGAGAUUAGUAAUUUUUUUUUCUUAUUACUUAAUGGAUGGAGCCGGAGAGUGGACUUAAUGAUCAAGACUGUAUUUGAUAGUAUUUAUGUGGGUGAUGGGGUGGUUAUGAGGUGAUUUUCAUCCCUUAAUAAAGUUGUGACAGAAAAUAUGGUAGGUGGUUAUAAUUCAUUUUAUAACAAGUUCUGUGGAGCAGCGCUUCUAAUCCAAUAAUCUUCUCCUAAGGCGUGUCUUCCACCUAGUGAAGAUGACAGGAGAUGCCUUGCUCCACCACCUCUAAUCCAAGGACAGUGAAAAGUGAAGAGUGGCUUCAUUCUUUUAUCCUUCCAGUGGACACUCAAAUCAACUUUUUCUAAGCUAUAGAAAUCGGGUUAGAACUUGGAAUAGAAAUGCAUGAAAACUUCACAAAUAUAUAAAGAAUUUAAGCUUCAAAUACAGAUCAUUAACACCUCAAUUUUCAAGGCCACCAAACAGCCCCAAAGUAGAGUUCAUGAGAUUGAAACUUUCAAUAACAAGUUGUAACGAAUUUUCCGUCAUUUUUUAUAUUAAAUGUCGAAAUUUAGAAAUCCAUACUUUCCCCUUUUCCUAUAUCUUUGCCUACACUUUCCUUUUUGUCAUUCAUUUUUGGGUUAUCAGUAGGUGGAAAUUUAAAAUUUUUUAAUAAUCAUUUAAUGACGACGUCUUUACCUCACUUUCCUCUAUUUGUUGGGCAACCAAACAAACCAAACUUGGAGUUGACAGUUGGGGUUAUACCUUUCUAAGGCCUUUGUUUUGGAAAAAUAUAAUAAAAAUAUUAAAAAGAUCAUCUCCUUCUUCCUUUAAAUUUUCAUAUUUUUCAAAGCAAUUAGAUGGAGGAUAGGUUCUUCUUAGUCUUCCUAUGAAAUCACCUAUAAAUGAGAUAUUAUUGUGAGUCAACAACUGGGAUUAUAUCUUGAAGCAAUUAUUGUUUAUUGUUACGUAGGAAGGUAAUAAUAGCUAAAAUACGGCAUGUGAUCACGUGCUUCACCAAACUAGGUCAAUUCUUCUUAACUUUAUUUCAAAUAUUCUUAUACUUUUAUAUUUUUCAAGUUUCAAUAAAAACUUCAAAGAAAAGAAUAAAGAGGGCAUAUAAGAACAUUUCUGGUUUGGAAAGCUAAAGAAAAUAAUAGAAUCUAAUACACAUGUGCAUAUUUAUAAUCAAAAUUUCAAAGAUUAAGGAAAAAAAUAAUUAGAAAAAUCAAUAAAGCUUUUAAAUGAUAUACCUCAAUCUUGCAUAAUUGGACAACUUCUUUCAUAAUAACUAUUAACCCCAUUAUUAUUAAUUCUCCCUUUCUUCUAUUUUACAUUCAAAACCUAAAAUUUUUCUUACCCUUUCUUUAUGCUUAAACACUCCAUAUUUAAGACAAACUACAAAAAAGUAUUGGCCUCUAUACCACAAAUUUAUACUUAUCUACUAUAGUGCAAUAGGCUACGUAGUUAAGUUAGUAAUUUUGUUCCAUUUGGAUUACAACUUUUCUAGUGUCACAUGUCUUACUCUUCAUUAAAAACUCGAGGUUGUUAUUGAUCAUCCAAGAUAAUAUAAGUAAGCAUAAAGAGCCCUGUGAAAAGGCUAAUUAGAUUUAAUUAAGGCAUGAAGUGAACAAUAUAAUAAGUUUUAAAAUUGAGUAUAAAUAUUUUUAAAAAUGAUUUUAAAAAUCCUCAAGUGCUCAAACAUAAAUCACAACGCUCAAACGUUGAUCACAAUGCUUAAGCACUCCUAAAGGCACUCAAACGCUCAUUGCAAAACUCCAACUCUGCCCUAUAUUUUUCAUUUAUUUUAUUUUUGGAAAAUUCUAGAUUUUGUCCACUAGGUUUUUAGCGUAUGAAGAACAUGCUGAAAAGGUUUCUGUUCUUUGAUACAAAUUUUGAGAAAACCCUAUUAACCUUCCCUACAACUCAAACUCUCAAGAAGUUCAUCUUCCCAUUCUCUUAGGUUGAAAGAGAGUUCUAUAUCUCCUUAGGCAUUGAGGUAGAGUCCAUUGGGAUCAUGCGUGGUGUUGCAUUGUGGAUGCAAGAAUCACUAUAGGUACUACGAAGUAAGACUUAAAGAUAGCAUCCACAAAGUAAAACUAUGUAUUAUUCUUUUGUGGAAAUCUGUGAAUGGUGAUUUGUAAGAUAUUGUGGGAAAGAUUGAAGCCCAAAUUGUGACAAAUAUUGUGGUGAUUUAUGUGAUUUUUUUUCCAUAUUUGUGUUUUUUCCAUUUUAUUUGUUCCUUGUAUAUAUGUUAAAUAAGGACCCGAUUAUGUAAAUAUACACAAUUUUGAAUGAAUUUUUGAGUGAUUCUCAGUUUCUUCAAAUUCUCAAUUUCUUCAUGGUAUCAGAGCAGUGUUUGCGCUAAAACCCUAAUCAAUCCAAGGCUGCCCAAAGAGGAGACAACCAUGAGUCCAGUCAAUCGGCAACCCAUGAAAAAGAGUCGGAGAUACACUCCUCAAUGGGACCGGUUGGUGGAUUCGACAACUCCCCACUCCAUCUUACCGUUGAAAAAUUGAACGAUAAGAAUUACAGAGAGUGGGCGCAAGCAAUCAAGCUUGUUAUUGACGGAAAGGGAAAGUUAGGGUUUCUUAUUGGCGAGACUCGAUGACCACCUCUGAUCGAUGUAGUAGCAUCCCAAAAAUGAUGGUCCGAAAACUCCUUCAUCACCUUAUGCUUGAUUAACUCCAUGAAGCCAGCCAUUGGAAAAACUUAUAUGUUCCUCCCAACGGCAAAGGAUGUGUUGGAUGCAAUACGAGAAACAUAUUUCGAUGCCGAGAAUGCUUCCCAAAUCUUUGAACUCAAGACAUGGUUUUGGUAGAUGAAGCAAGGAGAUCAGGAAGUCACUGAAUACUACACCGAGAUGCUGGGUUUUUGGCAAGAUCUCGAUCUCAACUAUGAAGAGGAGUGGGAGUGCACAGGUGACAGUGUGCGCUUCAAGAAGAAAAUGGAGAACGAGAGGGUCUUUGAUUUCAUAGUGGGGCUGAAUCGCGGGCUUCACGACUUUAGGAGCAAGGUUCUCAGUCGUCGGUCGUUGCCCUCCAUUUGAGAGGUCUUCUCUGAGGUGCGACGAGAGAAAAGUAGAAGGAAAGUGAUGUUGGAGGAACAUCUCUCAUCUGGGCUUGAGGCUUCAGCCCUUGUAACCCAUGGGCCUCAUGUUGGAUCUAGUAGGCCUCAAUCUGGAUUAGACCCAAGACAGUACAAAAGGACUUAUUGUGAGCAUUGUAAAAAAUUGGGCCACACUAAAGAAACUUGUUGGACUUUACAUGGCAAGCCCGCGUAUUGGAAGCCGAGACAACCCAAUAAAGCCCAUAGUCAUCAGGCCUCCAUCGAAACCCAGGUAGACAAAACACCCACAAAAAUUCGUCAAUUAACUUCUAGUGUGGGGUUUAAUUUCGACCAGCUUGUGAAAUUAUAUGAGUUUUUUUUCUAAUUUUCAAGCCUCUAGUCAAUCUUUUAUUACUCUGUCCUCUGGUUUUUUGGCCCAAAAAGGUACCUUUCUGACAACACUUAACACCAUAUCUCAUAGUACUCCCUGGAUUAUUGACUUUGGUGCAUCUGAUCAUAUGACGGAUGGUCAUAAUUUAUUUUCCACAUACUCUCCCUGUGCCGGUAAUUUAAAAGUAAAAAUUGCAGAUGGUACUUUAUCCCCAGUUGCUAGCAAAGGGAGUAUUCGUAUUUCUGAGUCUAUUACUCUCAACCCUACCCUACAUGUACCUAAUUUAUCUUGCAAUUUGUUGUCUAUUAGCCAGUUAACAAAAAAGUCUAAUUGUUUAGCUAAAUUCCUACCAUCUCAUUGUGUUUUUCAGGACUUAUUAUCAGGGAAAACGAUUGGUAAUGCUAAAGAAUGUGAUGGUCUAUAUUACUUCAAUGAAACUGAUGUGUGUGGACAGUGUUCUCCUACUGUUUAUAAUUCUGCAUCUCGUCAUAAGGAUAGUGAACUUUUUUUAUGGCACAAAAGGAUGGGUCAUCCUAGUUUUUAGUACUUAAAACAUUUAUUUCCUUCACUAUGUUCAAAUAAAUCUUCAUGGGAUUUUCAGUGUGAAGUGUGUGAACUUGACAAACACCAGCGAGCUUUUUCUUCCCAAAUCUAAGUAAAGACCAUCCAUACCAUUUACUCAAAUUCAUAGUGAUCUAUGGGGACCCUCACAUACCCCUAAUAGGACCCAUAAAAAAUGGUUUAUUACUUUUAUUGAUAAUCACACUCGCUUGUGUUGGGUAUUUUUGUUGACUGAUAAAACUGAGGUUCGAUCAGUCUUCAUGAACUCUCACUCUAUGAUACAAACUCAGUUUCACACCAAAAUUCAAAUUCUUCGUACUAAUAAUGGUACUGAGUAUUUCAAUCACUCCUUGAGCACUUAUCUACAAGAAAAUGGUAUUAUACAUUAAAGUUCUUGCAUUAACACCCCUUAGCCAAAUGGGGUUGCAGAACGAAAAAAAUAUACAUAUUCUUGAAGUUGCUUGUGCUUUGCUGUUUAUCUCUCACAUGUCCUCACAAUUUUAGGGUGACUCCAUUUUGACAACCACAUACCUUAUUAACCAAAUGCCUAGUCAAGUCCUAUCUUUUGUCACACCCCUCUAGAAAUUCCAAGAGUUUUUUCCUCAUUCUAGACUCGAUGCACAUCUUCCACCUCGUGUUUUUGGGUCCAUUGUGUUUGUCCACACUCACAGACCUAAGUGGAACAAAUUUGAUCCCAGAGCGCUUAAAUGUGUCUUUCUUGUCUCCUCUUCCACACAAAAGGGCUACAAAUGCUAUGACCCAAUUUCACAAAAGCUAUAUGUUAGCUUAGAUGUCACAUUCUUUGAACAUACUCCCUACUACUCGCUUCAGGGGAAGUCCAUGAGUGAAACUAGACCACCCUUAACCUUAGACUGCCUCGAUGUUGUUGUGUUUUAAUCCACUCCGUGCCUUAUAUCUACAUCUUCACCUAAUACAGAAGAAUACUUAAACUCAGGGGGAGAUACGGAAUUAUAGAUAAAUAAGGAAACACUUGUCUACUCAAAGAGGUCAAAAUCAAAGUCCAAUGAAGUCCAAUGAGACACUCAUCUCCGAAUCAUUAAAAGAGUCAAAACCGGUGAUAGUUCCAACCCCUCGGGAGUCUAGCUCCAAUCCUGAUCAGGUAAUAGAUGACUUACCCAUUGCUCUUAGGAAACAACCUCAUUCAUGUACUCUCCAUCCUAUCUCGAAAUUUAUGUCUUAUAAUGCUCUUUCUGCAAAGUGUUGUGCUUUUACAACUAACCUUGAUAGAAUCCAGAUUCCUAAAAACAUUCAAGAAGCCUUGGAGAUUCCAGAAUGGAAAGAGGCAGUGAUGGAAAAAAUAAGGGCAUUGGAAAAAAACGGGACUUGGGAAGUGAUGAAUUUGCCAAGAGGAAAGAAACCAAUGGGUUGUAAAUGGGUAUUCAUAGUGAAAUAUAAGGUGGAUGGCAUAGUAGAACAAUACAAAGCCCGCCUGGUUGCAAAGGGGUUCACUCAAACCUACGACAUCGAUUAUACCGAGACAUUUGGACCAGUGGCAGAGUUGAACACUAUACAAGUUUUUUUAUCCUUGACAGCAAGUCUCAACUAGCCAUUCCAUCAGUUUGAUAUCAAGAAUGCCUUUUUGAAUGGUGAACUAGAAGAAGAAGUGUUUAUGAUGCUACCACUAGGGUUCUGUAAAGAAGAAUAAGAAACCAAGGUAUGCAAAUUGAAGAAAUCUCUGUAUGGUCUCAAGCAAUCACCGAGAACAUGAUUUGAUAGAUUUGCAAAGGUGAUUAAGAACCAAGGAUACCAACAGGGACAGACGAAUCAUACUCUGUUCUUCAAACAGUCCAAUGAUGGAAGGAUGACCAUCCUAAUUGUGUAUAUCGAUGACAUCAUUCUCAUUGGAGAUGGUAGAGGAGAAGUGGAGAGGUUGAAGAAGGUCUUAGCCAUAGAAUUUGAGUUAAAAGAUUUGGGUCAAUUGCGGUAUUUCCUAAGAAUGGAGGUCGCCAGAUCAAGGAAGGGAAUUAGUAUUUCCCAGAGAAAGUAUGUACUUGACUUGUUGAUUGAGACUGGCAUGCUGGGUUGCAAGCCAAGUGAUACCCCUAUCAAGACAAGAAAAAUGAUGGAAAACCCGUGGAUAGAGAGAUAUCAACAACUAGUAGGUAGAUUGAUCUACCUUUCUCACACUAGACCAUACAUUGCUUUCACCGUAAGCAUGGUUAUCCAGUACAUGCAUUCACCAAAGGAAAGUCAUCUAGAAGUAGUGUAUAAGAUCCUCAGAUACCUAAAGGGUUCUCCAGGAAAAGGACUAUUCUUUAAAAAGAGUGAUAGUAAAAAGAUAGAGAUCUAUAUAUAUGCAAAUUGGGCGGGAUCAGCAGAUGACAGAAUGUCUACUACAGGCUACUGUACCUAUGUCUGGGGGAAUCUAGUAACAUGGAGAAGUAAGAAUCAGAGUGUAGUAGCCAGAAGCAGUGCCAAGGCUGAAUUCAGAGCAAUUGCACAAGGUAUGUGUGAAUGACUAUGGUUGCAGAAACUGUUGGAAGAACUACACAUUACAAUAAAGCUCCUCAUUAAACUCUAUUGUGACAACAAAGCUGCCAUUAGUAUUUCUCAUAAUCUUAUUCAACACGACAAGACCAAACAUAUAGAAGUGGGCAGACACUUUAUAAAUGAGAAAUUGAGAAUGGGACUAUUUGCAUGACUUAUAUCCCUACAAGGGACCAAUUGACAUAUAUAUUUACCAAGGGGUUACAGAAAUCAAGCUUUGAAGAUUUUAUUUGCAAGUUGGAUAUGAUUAAUAUCUAUGAUCCAACUUGAAGGGGAGUAUGGAAAUCCGUGAAUGGUGAUUUGUAGGAUAUUGUGGGAAAAAUUGAAGCCCCAAUUGUGACAGAUAUUGUGGUGAUUUAUGUGAUUUUAUUUUAUUUCCAUAUUUUUAUUUUUUCCAUUUUAUUUGCUCUUUGUGUUUAUGUUAAAUAGAGACUUGAUUAUAUAAAUAUACACAAUUUUGAAUGAAUUUUUGAGUGAUUCUCAGUUUCUACAAUUCUCAGUUUCUUCAUCUUUCAAUAGUAGAUUUGUGAUUUGAGGUCUCUAACCCCAUGAUUUUUACAUUUGUUGAGUCUUUAAGAGACAAUGUGGAUGGUGUUCCAUGAAAAACUUUGAGUCUUAGUGUCAUUUUUCUUUUUUCUGAAGAAAGUAAAAAAUAAAAUAAUUUUAAGUCAAAUAAGUAACUCUUGCUCAACACCCCCUCAUCCCCUAUCUCAAGGUCAUAUAUCAUAAUCUAGAUCUAUAGAGUAAGAAAAAAUUUUAAAAAUCAAAUUUUUUUUAUCUUGCUAAAUCUAAGGUAAACCAUAGAAAGAUGGAUCUUCAAUUAAUAACCCACCUUAUUUCAAUGGCAAUAACUACCCACAUUAGAAGACUUGUAUAGAUUUUUUCUUGAAAAUACAAGGAGAACAAGUUUGGAACUUAGUGGAAUUUUGAUGGGGGCCACCAAAUAAAUUGGAUGGUACUAGAAGAUUUAGAAAAGAAUUCAAGCCCAAAUAGGAAUUGGACAAACUAUAUAAUAAGGGCAGUGAAGCAAAUGUUCAUGCUCUCUAUAGUAUCUUUAAUGGGGUUAAACCUAAUGAAUUUCACAAGAUAGCCACAUGUAAGUGUGCUAAAGCAACCUAGGAUAUUCUGUUAGUUACUCAUGAGGGCACUUUAGUUGUGAAGUUGUUCAAAGUUCAAAUGCUUAUUAUAAAGUUUGAAAGCAUAAGAAUGCAAGAAGAUGAGACUUUCUCUACUUUCUAUUAUAAGCUUAAUGACAUAGUCUACUCAAGCUUUAACCUUAGGAGUAGAUUCUUGAGCCUAAAGUAGAAUGAAGAAUAUUGAGAUCUCUCUUCGAGAGAUUCAAACCUGAGGUUACAACUAUUGAAGAAAGCAAGGGCACUAACUCUAUGAGAGCUAAUGAUGAAUUUGUGGGAUCUUUUCAUAUGAGAUGUUCAUUCCUAAUACUCAAAAGCCAUAAGAACCUGCUUGUAAGGCUUCUAAUAAUGAAGAAAAUGAGUCUACAAGCCUUAAUUUAGUUGAUAGAGAAGAACUUGAUUUAUUGUCAAGAAGAAUUAAAGAUACCAUGAGAUUUUUGAAAAAACUCUUCCAAAAACAAGACUUAAAGAAAGGAAAAAAAAGUUUACUAUUCCUUUAAGAAAAGAUAAGGUCAUCUUUAAGGGAAAAAAAUAUUGAAUGUUUUAAUAGUGGAGGUAUAGAUCAUCCAUUUUGUCCUUGUAACACAUGCUUUUGAUCAUACUUAGUACCCCUCACCUUGCACCUUCAUUUAGUACAUGUGCAUGAUCCUCAUUUUGCUUAUUUGUUCUUGUGCUCCUUGGUGGUUUGCUUGUUACUCACUUUUGGAAUUGACUCUUAGACAACUUUUGGAGACCUUUUGGAGAAGCUUUUAGAUCCAUAAAGUGACUUUAGUGGUACUUUAGGAGUUCCCAAAGUUUCAGCGUAUUUAACACACUUGGGCCCUUUUUUAGCUUCAACCAAUCGAGGGAAUUGAUUCAACCAAUUCAACCAGUUGCAACUGGUCUAGGCAACUGAUUCAACUGAUAACUUAACCAGUUCAUUAUGUUUUACCCUUUACUUCCUUCUUUUGGCCCAUUUUUUAGUCCUAUUUUUUCUUACCUUUUUUAAGGAGGUUUUUAGGUUUGUUUUGGAAAGGUUUUGAGGGCCUAAACUUGGGUUUUAGGUAUCCUUAAUUUGGGUUUAGUUUAAGAGAGUUUGAAGGUGAAUUUGAGUCUUGGUGGAAAUAAUAACAUGUGUCAAAAUUUUCACCAUUCCUUAGCCUAUAAAUAAGGUCAUUGAGGCUCUUUUUCCCUGUUUUGGCCUUUUUUUUUUUAGUUUUCUUUUUCUUACCCUUUUUAAGAAGGCUUUAGGCUUGUUUUGAAGAGGUUUUGAGGACCUAAACUUGGUUUUAGGUCUCCUUAAUUUGGGUUUAGUUUAAGAGACUUUUAAGGUGAAUUUGAGCCUUGGUGGAGAUAAUGACAUGUGUCAAAAUUUCCACCAUUCCUUAGCCUAUAAAUAAGGUCCUUAGGGCUCAUUUUCAAGGGACUUUUCUUUGGAUUUUUUAAGUACUCUAUCCAAUUUUUGAGAAAAAAAAUAAGAAGAGGAAAAACCUUUAUAUUUAAAGAAAACUUAGCUUAAAGGAGGGUUCUUAGUUGACUAGAAGUCGAGUGAUUCACUUGUGAGGAGAUCUCUUGUAAGUUCUUCUUGAUUUCAUUUUCUUCUAUUUAGUUUUAACUUGUUUUCAUUUUUCUUUUGAUUAUUAAGAUGAUGAGUAUAUUAGUUAUCGAUAUUGAAAGGUCACAUGCUUGAUUUUGGAUUUUUGUUCUUCAUAUGUGGAUUCUCAUUUUCUUUUCUUCAUGUGUCCACUUUGCAUAGACUCUAACCUUGAGAAGAUAUUGAGCCUAUGUUGAAAUCAAUAGGAGGCUUUGAAUUAUGGGUAAGACCCUAAAGUGAUCAAAUAUCCCUAUAGAUUGAGUCACUACUGAUGGAAGUUGGUGGCAAUAGGUAUUCUCAAUAUAGGCACUAUGUUAUUUCAUGAGAUUGAGAUAACGUGUCCCCUUAGGUCAUCCAAAGGACAUGUGACUAUGAAAUUUGUGGUCAUAGUAAUCCAUUUAGUGGAGUUUGGCAUAUGUUUCUUGCAGUUAGAGUAUGUAAGUUGAUCACAUAAUAAAACAUUCAUAACUCAAGGAUUGGAGAGGUAAUCUUGAUGGGUUAAUAGCACUACCCUAUUAGAUUACAAACACCAGUUCAUGGGGAGUCCAUAUGUAAUGGAUAGUACGUAGGUCAUAAACCCAAACUUUGUCUCAUUUUAAUUUCAUAUGAUACUAAAGUGUAGUUGACUCUCUUUAGUGAAGUAUUGAGUCAACUUUAGGAUUGGGUUG